rnacentral:lncRNA from 1 species
UUUUUUUUUAAACGUUCCACCGUAAAUAAAUCCUAGAAAAAUAAAUAAAAAACUAAAAAUGCCAAAACAAAUUUUCAUCGUCUAAAUAAAAUAUUUAGAACAAGAUGAACAUUUUCUUUGCCCUAAAAUGCAAUUUUGAAAUAUGUGCAAUUUUUCUAAUUCUAUAAAAUUACAAUAAAAAACAAAUAAAAUAAAUAAAUUGAUUUUAACAUUUUUCCUCUAAUAUUUCAUUUAUUUUGGAGAAGUCAUUUUAUCCCCUCUCAUAUAUUUUUAUUUUAGAAAUAUUAGGAAAAAAAUAAUCAAAACCAAUUGAUCCCCUUUUCAAAAUUUGAGAAAACUCAAAUAUAAAAAUAACAAAAUCCCCAACUCUCUCCGUAGGUCCUUGAGUUGCGUAGAAUUUCUAGGAUCACGCCAAAAUUCAAUAAAAUAUGAUAUGCAAUGAUGAUCUAAUGUAUAACAUUCCAAAUUGAAAAUUUGGGAUGUUAGAAACCUACCCCCCCCCCUUAAGAUGAAUCUCGCCCUCGAGAUUCGGGUUGGCUAGAAAAUAGGUGAGGGUGGUCCUUCCGUAGUUAUUCCUCUUGUUCCCAAGUGGCUUCAUCUUUGGUAUGGUGGCUCCCCUGAACUUUGCAGAACUUGAUAACCUUGCUGCGUGUGACUCGGCUGGCAACUCGAGAAUCUUCACUGGUUUCUCUUCAUAGGUCAAGUCGCUAUCCAACUGAAUUGCCUCUAGUGGCAUUGUAUCUCUCAGAGGAAUAUCGGCCAUCUCUGCGUGGCACUUCUUCAGCUAGGAAACAUCGAACACAUCGUGAACUCUUGACAAUCCUUCCGGCGAUUCCAACUUGUAAGCAACUUCUCCCAUACGUUCCAAAACUUUGUAUGGUCCCACAAAACGUGGUGCUAACUUUCCCUUAACUCCAAAAUGCUUAACUCCUCGAAGUGGGGACACACGAAGAUAAACUCUGUCUCCGACUUCGUAAACGGUCUCCUUACGUUUCGAAUCUGCAUAGCUCUUUUGCAUGGACUGGGCUACCUUGAGUCUAUCGUGAAUCAGCUUAACCUUCUCUUCAGACUCUUUGAUCAAAUCUGGUCCAAACAACUGACGGUAUCCAACUUCAUCCGACAACAACGGUGUCCUGCACCUCCUUCCGUACAAAGCUUCGAAAGGGGCCAUCUUCAAACUGGAUUGAUAACUGUUAUUGUAAGAGAACUCUGCAUAAGGCAAAUUGUCAUCCCAACUUGAUCCAUAAUCAAGCGCACAAGCUCUCAUCAUGUCCUCCAGAAUCUGAUUGACUCUCUCGGUUUGUCCAUCUGUCUGUGGAUGAAAGGCUAUACUGAACUCUAGCCUGGUACCCAAAGUUUCGUGCAACUGAUUCCAGAACUUUGAGGUAAACUGGGUUCCUCUAUCUGAUACAAUGGUCCUCGGAACUCCAUGCAGACAUACGAUCCUGGUCAUGUAUAUCUUUGCUAACUUAGCACUGGUGUAAGUGGUCUUCACUGGGAUGAAAUGAGCUACCUUCGCCAAACGAUCGACUACAACCCAUAUCGAGUCAUAGCCUGAACGAGUCCUGGGCAAUCCCGUGAUAAAAUCCAUGCCUAGCUUAUCCCACUUCCAUUCGGGUAUCAGCAAUGGCUGUAGCAAUCCAGCUGGCUUCUAAUGCUCUGCCUUCACUCUGACAUACAUCACAAACUGCUACAUACUCCGCAAUAUCCUUCUUCAUUCCGGUCCACCAGAAAUUGUCCUUCAAAUCUAGAUACAUCUUAGUGUUUCCUGGGUGAAUCGAAUACGGUGAAUCAUGGGCCUCUUGCAGAAUCAACUUCCUCAUCUCCGGGUGAUUAGGCACAUAUACGCGGUCCUCAAACCAUAAGGUAUCAUGCUCAUCCUCACAAAAUCCCUUAGCUUUUCCCUUGCUCAUUCUUUUCUUUAUCUUGGCAAUCUCCUUGUCCGCCUUCUAAGCUUCUCUGGUAUUAUCCAUCAAGGUAGACUGAAUCUCCAAUGCUGCUACAUAGCCUCUCGGAACUAUCUCCAAACAUAGCUCGCGAAGAUCCUCUGCUAACUCCUUGGGUAACUCUCCGGUCAUGAGUGUGUUGACAUGACUAUUGCGGCUCAACGCAUCGGCUACUACGUUAGCCUUCCCAGGAUGAUAGUGCAACCUCAUGUCAUAAUCCUUGAUGAGUUCCAACCAUCUCCUUUGCCUGAGGUUCAACUCCUUCUGCGUGAAGAUAUACUUCAAACUCUUGUGAUCCGUGUAUACCUCACAAUGGUUUUCGAUGAGAAAAUGUCUCCAUGUCUUCAAUUCAUGCACUACGGCUGCUAACUCCAAAUCAUGUGUAGCAUAAUUCAACUCAUGGGGCUUAAGCUGUCGUGAGGCAUAUGAAACAACUCUUCCCUCCUGCAUAAGCACUGCUCCAAGUCCUCGACGAGAAGCGUCGCAAUUUACUUCAUAAUCCUUGCGCUGAUCUGGCAGAAUCAACACUGGUGAUGUAACCAAAUGUUUCUUCAACUCCUGGAAACUGGCCUCACACUCCUCAGUCCAUUUGAAUUUGGUGUCCUUCUUUAACAACUCCGUCAUGGGCUUUGCAAUCUUCGAGAAAUUCUCAAUGAACCUCUGGUAGUAUCCUGCGAGUCCAAGAAAACUCCGGAUCUCUCCAACUGACGUGGGUGCUUCCCAAUUGGUCACAGUGACAACUUUGGUGGGGUCUACUGCUAUUCCUUCUCCGGAUAUAACAUGUCCAAGGAAUCCAACUUCCUUCAACCAAAACUCGCACUUGCUAAACUUGGCAUAUAACUGAUGUUCUCUGAGCUUUCCAAGUACCAAACGCAAAUGCUCCUUAUGCUCAUCUUCAUUCUUCGAGUAGACCAGAAUAUCAUCAAUGAACACUACGACGAACUUAUCCAAAAACUCCAUAAACACCUUGUUCAUCAUAUUCAUUAAAUAGGCAGGUGCGUUAGUAAGACCAAAUGACAUAACGGUAUACUCAUAUAGCCCGUACCUUGUGGUAAAAGCUGUCUUAGGUAUAUCCUGCUCUCGAAUCUUCAACUGGUGGUAUCCUGAUCACAGAUCGAUCUUGGAAAAUACUUUAGCUCCUUGCAGCUGCUCAAACAAAUCAUUGAUCAUCGGUGUGGGUACUUGUUUUUUAUUGCCACUUCAUUCAAUCCUCGAUAAUCAACAACCAUCCUCAACGAUCCAUCCUUCUUCUCCACGAGAAGCAUUGGUGAUCCCCAAGGUGACGAACUUGGGCGAAUAUAACCUUUAUCCAGUAACUCCUUAAUUUGCUUCUUAAUUUCCUCCAAAUCCUUUGCGGGCAUCCUGUAUGGUCUCUUAGAUAUUGGCCCUGCGCCUGGCAAAAGCUCAAUCAAAAACUCAAUGUCUCUAUCCGGUGGCAUGCCUGGCAACUCUUCUGGAAAUACAUCAGGGAAAUCCUUCACCACUGGUACUUCCUCCUGUACAACUCCUGAUAAGGAAUUCACUUGAGUCCCCUUCAGCUCAUGCCGGGAUACAUACUUGAUCCUUCUUCCUUCUGGGGUGGUGAGUAAAAUCGACUUACUGCCGCAAUCGAUGUUUCUUCCAUACAUCGAUAGCCAAUCCAUAUCCAGAAUCACAUCCAAACCUUGCGACUCCAAAAUUAUCAGGUCUGAGGGGAAAACAUGCCUCCCUAUGGUCAAUGGCAUCUGAAAACAUCCUUGACAUGCCAUAUACUCCACUCCUGGUGAGCUUACUAACAUAGGUGUUCUAAGAACUUUGGUGUGCAGUUUAUACUUAUCCACAAAUCCCCUUGAUAUGUAUGAAUGUGAUGCACCAGUAUCGAAAAGAACGAUUGCAGUAAUUGACUUAACUAAAAACUUACCUAUUACUGCAUCUGGUUGGGCUUCUACCUCCUCCAUGUUAACGUGGUUCACCUGUCCCCUAUUGAAAGGGUUGGGCUUCUUCCCAGAGCUUCCAUUGCCAUUUCCAUUCUUUGCUUGAGGACAUUCAGUGGCAUAAUGUCCAAUCUUUUAGCACUUGAAACAGGUAAUGUGGCUUAGAUCCCUCUUGGCUGGUAUUGAUGGGUUGGUACGGCUCUGGCUGUUGCUUCCUCCAUUUCUAUUGCCAUUCUUGGGGCCACUAUGGUUGUGCGAACUCCCUCCAUUGUGAUUGUGACCUCCAUGGUUAUGUUGGAGGUGUCCUCCCGAGUUUGGGGUAAAGCGAGGCCUCUGCUAAGCUCCAGAAUUGUAUUUCCCUUGUCCAUACUUCCUCUUGCGGUUGUCAAUAUGUUGCUGCUUCCCUUCAAUCAUGAGAGCUCUAUCUACAACUCCUGGUAGUUGUUGAAGGUUGCCACCAUCAACUGCAUGCUCAGCCGCAUCCGUAGCAACGUCAUCUGGGGCAUAACGUGCUAACUUACUAAAAUCAUCCACAUACCGGCCAACUGUACAUCCUCCUUGGCGCAGGUUGCGGAACUCACGCUUCUUCAUGGCCAUAGCUCCUGCUGAAACAUGGGCAGUACGGAAAGCCUGCUGAAACUGGUCCCAUGUGACAGUGUCGAUGGGGUACAUGGCUGUGAAAUUCUCCCACCAUGAUGUUGCGGGUCCAUCAAGCUGAUGUGCGGCAAAACGCACCCUCUCCGCAUCUGUGCAUCCUGCAGUGGUCAAGUCCCUUCAAAUCUUGCGGAGCCAACCAUCUGCAACUAUCGGCUCGGUGCUACUGGAGAACAUCAGUGGAUUUAGCCUUAAGAAACGGGCUAAGUGGUCAACUGGUGGUCGUGGUGGGGGUUGUUGUUGUUGUUGUUGUUGUUCCCCUGAUUCUGGUUCUGGACUAGUAUCUGCAUCAAUGCAUUCUGCUGCUGGAUCAACUGAGUGAGCUCCGGUGGGAAAACAAAUCCAUUGUCGCGUCUCGGAGGCAUCUGAGAGUUGAGAAAAGAUGAGAAUAUAGAAUGGAAUGAGGUCUAGAGAGAAAAACACUACCCGUAUGCACAUGAGACAAACACAAUCAUGUCACUUCAAUCAAUUCACACAAGGGCAUACAUCGGUCUAACUAUCAUUACAAAAAUGCUCGGGCUAUGCUAUAUACAUGGGGAAAUACUACUACUGAUAUAGUGGUCGACUAGAAAUUUUGAUCGAUCGACGACUCCAUGAUAUCUACUCCAGCUUCAUCAACAUAGUCAUCAUCAUUAUCGUCAGGGUCUGAGUCGGUGUCGUCGAUGAUGAUGUAGUUCUCCGGACAGGUAGAAUCAUCGUCUUCACCCCCAGGCGCGGGGUCUCCCAUGAAUACUCCGAUCUUUUUAAUCAGGUCGUCAUUCUUCUCCAGUAAUGUUGCAAUUUCCUCCUCAUAUCCAUCGCGGGUAGACUUGAGUUCUUCUUCCAGCUCCGCGAUCCUGGUCAUUGCCUUCUUUAAAUCUAUCAUGCAUGCGCACAUCUGGUUCUCCUAGCGACUAAUGUGCUGGUUUAACUCCUGGAUGAAAGCUGCAAUAGAUCUAUCCUUCCAGGUGUUGAUCAUCUCCCAUUGCUCGUCUCGGCACCCACAAAUCUGGUAGAUAGUAUCCUUGAGAUUCUUAUGGUACACUUCUCCAAUGGUGAUGUGGGCUGCCAUGCUCUUUCCUAGACUCCAGGUUGGUGCAUCAAAGGAAAACUCUAUGGGCUCGGUGACUGGCAUGAACAUCCUUCCUGAAACUUGAACUCGAAUCAUCCAACGCUCCUCUUCUGGUAAAGUGGCGAUGUAGGUCCCGGUGAAGUUUGGUAUUUCGAUGUUCAGGUAUCUAGUAACUUCCUUCAAGUGGCGUCCAAAAGGCGUAUCUUCAUCCGGUUGCGCGAACUUGUUCCUUGCAUCCGCCAUCCUAAAAGAAUAGAAAAAGGAGAGAGGAGUCAGAAAUGAGAAGAGAGUAGUGAUCUAUGGCUUUAGCUUAGUGGUCGUGUCCUACAGUCAGCGUGUGCUCUGAUACCAUCUUGUAACAACCAGACCUCGAACAGUCUGAUCUCUGUGCAUCAGUGUCAUCCCUGGAUCGGUAAUGCUGACACGCACAGUACUUGAAGGAUUUAUAACAGAGUAGCAAUCACACACUUAUCACAUCGAAUGUCUCAAAAGAGAACUUAUUACAAUAAAUAUGGCUUAAGGCCAUCUAAAAAAUGAUAACAGCGGAAGGCUUGGAAGAUAAAGUGAGUCCAUCAACUCCAACGGCAUCACUGAGUGAAAGAUCACGACCUAAGGCACCUUACUCGUCGUCUGAAAAGUCUGCAACAUGAACGUUGCAGCACGAAACGGAUCAGCACAUGGAAUAUGCUGGCAAUGUAACACAUAGAGAGUAAUGAACAGAAUAAUGCUAUCACUACAUGCAUAUAUGGAUGGUGGAAAGCUCUAUGGUUACAGUUUUGCAUAAAGCCAAUUUUUUCCUACAACAAAGGAAUAAAUAUCAUUUAACUAUCAUGGUGGUUAUUAAACGUUGAGAAGGUUUCUCCAACUCAAUCCCAAUUAAACAUCAUCAUUAAACCCAAUCAAAAUUAAAUUAAGUAACAUGAUGAGAUCAACAUGAUAAUCCAGGAACUAGAUACUCAAAACGUCCAUAACCGGGGACAGGGCUAACCAUUAUUAAUUUUACACUCUGCAGAGGUUUGCGCACUUUUCCCCACAAGACUCGAAUACAUCCAUGGUCGGAGAAACGAGACACGGUCUUUCUGAAACAAUAACUCUUUACUCUGGGUGGAUAGUUACACCUACUUUCCCCUACAUCUACUAGCCCACCACUGAAAGAGGUCUUGCAACGUACUCAACUAUGCUAGAGCCCAUAAUAGAUUGUGGCUGGACACGGAAGUUUCUAGCAUGAAAAAUCUUAUGAUCCCUUUUAGCCUGGGUGGCGGUCCAUAGGAGAAUCACACGGUACCCCGGGAUUUCCAAAAAUACAGGCAACACUGGGUUCCCCAGGUGCCUCAAUCCACCCAGAUGUGAAUUAAAGUAGCCAUCUUAAUUUAACCAUUAAUUAACAACACUCACAUCUGUUAUGGAUAUACUCACCCAAUCCACGUCUACAAGCAUAGCAUAGCAAUAUAAGCAAACGUAGAAGUAACUCCCAAAGGUUUGAUAACUGAACAGGACAAUAGGUACUACCUCAUUUACUUCCCAAUACCCACAUAUUAAUCAGAUACUAACCAUGCAAUUGUUUGAGGAUUGAUCUAAUGCAAUAAAACUGGGUAAUAAAGACGUAUGAUCAAAGUGUUACCUGCCUUCCUGAUGAUCCGUGAAACCUAGAGACUCGUAGUAGCACGCUUUGCACUCCUGGUACUCUAUUGCAAACAAACAAGCAUACAAUAAGCACUCAACUAAAAGCACGGGUAAAACUCAAAUAAGAGAUCUAACCAGAAAGUUUAACUUAAGAACUCCGAUUUGCAAAAAGAAUCAAAUCAAAUGAAGCAACGAAACUCAAACUGCAAAAGAAACAAACUCCGUUUACUAAUCUGGGCUUAAGUCAAAUUUUACAGUAGCAAAAACUUGUUUAAGUUGGUUAAAAAGAAAGAGGGUUUCGAGACGAAACUCUAGGCGUUUGAAUUGCCUGAUUCCGACAAACGAGCGAAGAGAAAAACUAAAACGAAAAUCAGGGCAGAAAUCGCGAUGGAAAACAAUCGCGGAAAACCCUGGAAAAAGAAAAACUAACGAAUAGGCUAACGAACGGACGUUCGCUGUCUGCGGCCAAACGGUGAAACUCGUUCGUUAAAACGAAUGAACGAGCGGACGUUUGCUAAGUAAAUAAACCGAAAAAAUGAACUGGUCCAAAAAUAAAACCUAGGGUUUUCUAAAAAAACGAAUCGGUUUUCUCUAGAAAACCGACGGCGGCGGGCGGCUACCUCGGCGGGGCUCCGGCGAGAUUCGGCGACUCCGGCGGGGUCGGGUGGGGCGGNNNNNNNNNNNNNNNNNNNNNNNNNNNNNNNNNNNNNNNNNNNNNNNNNNNNNNNNNNNNNNNNNNNNNNNNNNNNNNNNNNNNNNNNNNNNNNNNNNNNNNNNNNNNNNNNNNNNNNNNNNNNNNNNNNNNNNNNNNNNNNNNNNNNNNNNNNNNNNNNNNNNNNNNNNNNNNNNNNNNNNNNNNNNNNNNNNNNNNNNNNNNNNNNNNNNNNNNNNNNNNNNNNNNNNNNNNNNNNNNNNNNNNNNNNNNNNNNNNNNNNNNNNNNNNNNNNNNNNNNNNNNNNNNNNNNNNNNNNNNNNNNNNNNNNNNNNNNNNNNNNNNNNNNNNNNNNNNNNNNNNNNNNNNNNNNNNNNNNNNNNNNNNNNNNNNNNNNNNNNNNNNNNNNNNNNNNNNNNNNNNNNNNNNNNNNNNNNNNNNNNNNNNNNNNNNNNNNNNNNNNNNNNNNNNNNNNNNNNNNNNNNNNNNNNNNNNNNNNNNNNNNNNNNNNNNNNNNNNNNNNNNCGGCGGCGGCGAACGGCGGCACUAGGCGGCGGGGUGGUUUGGGUGGUGGUGGGGGUCGACGGCGACGGUAUUUAAGAGGGGGGGCGGGGCUGGCUUGGAGGAGGGGGCGCCGGGUCGGGGUCGGCCUUGGGAGGCGUGCCCCGACCGGACUCGGCGUCGGCGGCGGGGUGGACUCCCUCCCGCGGGGGAAGGCAGCGGCUGUGCGGGCUUGGCCCGGCUUCGCUGGGCCUUCAGCCCAGUCGGGCGCGCGGAGAUUUUUCUAAACGUUCCGCCGUAAAUAAAUCCUAGAAAAAUAAAUAAAAAUCUAAAAAUGCCACAACAAAUUUUCGUCGUCUAAAUAAAAUAUUUAGAACAAGAUGAACAUUUUCUUGGCCCUAAAAUGCAAUCUUGAAAUACGUGCAAUUUUCUAAUUCGAAUAAAAUUACAAUAAAAACCAAAUAAAAUAAAUAAAUUGAUUUUAACAUUUUUCCUCUAACAUUUCAUUUAUUUUGGAGAAGUCAUUUUGUCCCCUCUCAUAUAUUUUUAUUUUAGAAAUAUUAGGAAAAAAUAAUCAAAACCAAUUGAUCCCCUUUUCAAAAUUUGAGAAAAAUCAAAUAUGAAAAUAACAAAAUCCCAUACUCUCUCCAUAGGUCCUUGAGUUGCUUAGAAUUUCUAGGAUCACGCCAGAAUGCAAUAAAAUAUGAUAUGCAAUGAUGAUCUAAUGUAUAACAUUUCAAAUUAAAAAUUUAAGAUGUUACAAAGAGAUUCCUUCCAAGUCGCUUAAUGCGAGAUAUAGUCACCGCGUUUGUUCCUUUUGGUUGGAGUCUUUUAUUAGUAGCUGUUUGGGCUUUUAAGAGACCAUAUGGUUUCUUUAUAUGAAAUCGGGAGGCCCUCUUUCGCCAAAACAAAAAGGUAAAGAUUUGAGUUGGAGGCCAUCCGUUCACUCCAUUUUUUUCUGUAUUGCGAAGUCAUAGUACAAGUGUAAGGUGAUGACGGUCAAGCACGCAAUAUCCUCCGCGAACUUCAAGAUUGUCCCGGAGGUUGUUGGCUGAAAACAUGAAGUCCUCCUUUGGUUCACAGGUUCGAAAAAUCAUAGGAAUAGGAAAGUCACAUGACAUGUAUCUCAAAUGAUAUAACAGAAAUAGAAAAAAAGAUGCCCUUUAUGUGAAUUUUUUCCAUCGAGUCUAGGGUAUUGUUUAUAUUUACCUAUGAAAUUUGAAGGAUAGAAAUAAUUCCUCCAUAGGAACAGGAUUCUAUUUUUACAAACCAAAGGACUGUAAAGGAUUUUAUUUUUCCUAUAGAGUUCCUACAAAGCUCCUCCAAACCAGAAGGAGGCCGAACAGUUUCUCCAGAUGCUGGCUCAGACUCCAGAGGUCUCCCAGCCAGAUGACCUAUCCUUCCAAAACAUCAUACAAUUGACGCCGAGCAGGCCAUAUCUAUCUAUCAAGCCUCCCAGGCAAUGCAAAACAGGUGAUGGACUCACAACAUCGACGCCGGAUCCCCAGAUGUUCAGACUGUUCAAGACCGGAAAAUGCAUACACAGGACCUUGGAAAAUGAAACAAAGUUGCACCUGCAACCGCGGCGACAUGAAUCAUUCGACCCGGAAUCAUAAUUAAACCACCGACUGUAAAAAGACCAUAUAUAAAUUGCAGAAAAGAGAAAAGGCAUGGAUUCUAAAUCACUGCAUACCGCACUCAUUUUUACAGUCAAACCAAAAUUGAGAAAAAAGAAGAUAUGAAUUCAGUAUUCUAACAUGAACACUGACAUGAGAGAGUUACAGCCAUCAUCGCAAAGCAUCUUAACAAUACAGUACAGAAGAGGAAGACAAGACAUGGACUCCAAAUAGCUGGACACCCCACUCACUUUGACAGUCGAAACAAAAUUACACAUGAUAUAAUUGGUCUGGUACAUCCACUCCAAACAGAGGUUUCCAAAUCAUUCACGAAUCAGUGUGAAACUACUACGGUACACAGGCACCCCCCAUUCAGACCGCGUCUAAAUAGCACAUAUAUACAUGAGUUCUAUGAACACUUUCGCUCAAAACGCACCACUCAGAUUUAGACCGGGGCUUUCGUACGGGGGGGCAAGGUAAUGCACACAACAUCUGAGAAGUAUCAUGACAAUCGUUUCUCUUAUUAUGACGGUGACAAAUGACAAUGGUGACGAACCUAGAAUGUGAUGAGGCUCGCGAUCACGAGAAAGCCAACCAGGAUGAGGAGCGCCUUGAGGUACACGUCCGCCUGCUGCUGCUGCUGCCCGGGCGGCGCGUGCCGGGGGGCAGCGGCGUGGGCGUGCCCGCCAUGGAAAGCAUGCCCAUGGCCAUGGCCAUGCCCGUAGCCAUAGGGAAACCCGGCAGGCUGCCCGUACGCGGUCGCGUCCGGGAAUCCAUGCACCUGGAAGCUCAGCAGCGGGAACAGGCCGCCAAACGCGGCCGAGAAGGUGUAGUUUCCCCACCGCGCGUUGGCCAAAGGGACGCCCCCUCCCCCCAUGAACCAGGGGUUAGGGUUUGCGUUGGGGAAGUGGUUGUUGGGGUCGGCCUGCGGGGCGGUGGCGGGCCGCUGCCCGGUCGGCCGGUUGGGGAUCUCGGCCCCGGCCGGCACCCCCUUGGACCUGGGGUCGACGCGGUCCUUGCCGCGGCCGUAGAGCGGGACGAGCUUGUCCUCCUCGACGACGGCCUUGCAGACGGGGCACUCGGGCGAGUGCGAGUGGAUGUGCAGCCACUUGUAGAGGCAGGGCCAGCAGAAGAGGUGGCCGCAGAGCGUGACGAUGGGCUCCUGCGGCAGCUCAAAGCAUAUGUUGCACUCGAAGCUGCCCCCGCCGUCGCCGGCCACGCUGCUGCUGCCGCUCGUGGACUCCCCCACAUUUGCCGCCAUGCUGGCUGGGCGUCGCUCGCUCGGAACCAACCACCCACGACGAGCUGCAAAUGAUCAAAUGGUUAUGGUCAUCAGCAACUCAACAACACAUAGCAACCAACAGCUUGUAAAAUUGCAGCGUAUCUCGACAGCCAGACGUGCGGUAACAGCAAGACUAGCCAGAUGUGCAGCUAUCUUCUCAAGGAAGGAUCGAAUCCCUGAAAAAUCUAUCUACAGGUACAGGAUUAGAGUAAGAUUUCUCGUGUCAGCAAUAAGCAAGCUCAAACAAGGAAUGAAUGAGAGCGACUAGCAGGAGGAGCAACGCGAAUCUAGUAGAAGCAUUGGAAAAAACAAAAACAAAAUCAUCCCCAACCCUCCCUACGAGAUCUGAAGCUCGGCCACACACCAGCAAAGCAACGCACAAGACGGGACCGCAGCACCGACAGCGCAGCGACUCCGACGACGACAGCGGCAGCAGCAGCAGUGCUAGACUAAAUCGUGAGCAGCAGCCGCACAACGGGCGAGCCCGUGCGACGCCUGGGGCGAGAAGCUCCUCUCCCCGCAAGCCCGCACACCGAGCGAGCCCGGCGGCCGAAUCCGGCGCGGACGGGCCCCGCGCAAGCAGACGCCCGGCGAGCCGCGACGACCGAGGCCGAGGGAUCGGGCGGAUCCGAAUCGGGAGGCGCGCCGAGCCGGCCGCGAUCUGGCCGGCCCAAGCGCAGAGACGAGGGCCGCGAGGAGGCGCGGGGGGCGGAUCAGGGGGCAGGGUGGGACUGCUUACCGGCGGCCGGACGGACGGGGCGAGGAGACGGCGCGGCCGGCGCCUCCCUCCGGCGGUGCGAGGGGGAGGGGAGAGGACGAGAAGCUUCGGGGAAGAAGAUGACAAGUACUAGAGUAUGAAUAGGCGACUCUCUCUCCCUCUCUCUAUCUCGCUGGAUGCGAGUUAUUAAUUGCUUCUGACUUUGGUCAAAGCCGAGUUAAUUACUGCUAACGGCGACCCGGGACGGCCCAGUCGACAGGCAUCGGCCUGGCGGCCUACAACAACAAAAAACAAGCGACGGUGGGCUUCCUAGGCCCAGCCCGUGCGACGACGCGAACGAGCAACCGGCCACGUGAGAAAUCAUCCCUCAAAACACCCCUAAAAAAAAAGUGAGAAAUCAAAAAUUGUCUGAAAAAACGUGAGAGAUCAUCAAAACCCCACGCAAAAAAGGUGAAUAAUCAGAAUUCCUGUAGAGAAAAACCAGGCGGCAAGCAUGCGUGUGCGCUCGAAAUGUGUUCUGCGUGGAAACAGAGCUACGCUACGUGCCACGGACAGUACAGUACACAGAAGAACAGUGGCCGUCUGAUCUGCUCCUCCUAACCUAACCUCGCAUGCACACCUUUUUUUUUUAAAUAAACAUAACACUUUAUUAAUUGGAAAUAAGAGUUACAUCAUCAAUAAAAAAAGAUACAAUAUCAUCCAUAGGCGCCUCACACCAAUCCCUAGUCUCUGAAAAAUUCGCUAGUCUAGCAAGUUCAUGAGCAACCUUAUUUGCUUCCCUAUUACAAUGUUCAAACCUAGUAACAGAAAAAUCACAUGCCAUAAAAUAGCAAUCGUCGAACACUGCCGCUGCCGCACCCGCUGAUUGUCCUCCAUUUUUCAUUGUGUCAAUCACUUUCAUAUUAUCAGAGUUGACAAUAAGGCGAUUGCAACCAGCUUUCUGUGCAAGGAUUAAGCCAAACCUUAUAGUUAGUGCUUCUACCGUUAAUACAUCAACACACCAAUCAAUCCUCCAAUUUCCGCCAACAAUAAACCUUCCUUUGUCAUCUCUGAGGACAGCCCCUGCCGUACUCCUAAACAGAUCGUGAUCAAAAAAAGCAUCAACAUUUAGUUUCACAAAACCCAUAGGAGGUCUCCUCCAUCCCCUUAUUUUACUGGUUGUUUUAGUGGAGUGUGCAUUAACGUAGUUCGCCGUUAUGGCACGAGCCCCCAUCGAAGUUUGAUGUGCAUCUUGAGACUUUCCUUCAUGAACCAGUUUACGUCUAUUCCACCAUAGAUACCAAGUUGUUAUAGCAAUCAAUUCGCGUACGUUCUUGAGUCCCAAUACAAAUAAUUCUUGGUCUGGCAUAAGUAGUAACAUUUCAAGAACUGUCUCUCCCGCCCGAUCGACACUACAAGCUUUAUUGAUGACCUCAUACAAUCCUAACUUGUUCCAAACCUCUUUCGCCUUCUGACACAUAAACAAGACGUGUUUUGUGUCUUCUGGCCCAUUUGAGCAUGAUGGGCAGAUGGGUGAAAUUUUCAUGUGUCUAUUAGCGAGCGUAACACGGCACGGGAGAGUUCCAUGCAAUGUACGCCAGAUGAAAAAAUUUACCUUUGCCGGACAAGAUAGUUUCCAGAUCUUACCCCAGAUAGGAUUAGCAUUGGUUCUACCCAUACCAUUUGUAUAUUGCAAUUUCCUCCCAUGUUGUUGGUUCCAUUCCUCCGAAUAAGCUGAUCGAACAGUGAACAAGCCAUUUUUUGUAUAACUCCAAGCAAUGAAGUCCGACAUAUCAUGCAUCGGAAGGGGAAUCACGAGCACCCUUUGAGCGUCAAUUGGCCACAAAGUUUGUCUCACCAAGUCUUUAUCCCAACAAUUCAUGAUUGGGUCAAUAAGGUCAGACACCUUUGACAAAAGAUGCCUUCUUCUAGGAGUAAUAAUUUUCCUACUUGCACAAUUCGGGAUCCAUGCAUCUUCCCAAAUAUCAAUCUUUUGUCCAUUUCCAACUCGCCAGAUGUAACCAUUCCUUAGGGGAUUAACUCCUGCCAUAAUGCUUUGACAGGUAAAAGAUGAACCCUUCUUUAGAUUUGCAUUCAUUAAAUCACCAUCUGGGAAGUAUUUUGCUCUCAAGAUUGUAGCACAUAACGAUUCUCGAUUAUCAAGCAAACGCCACGCCUGUUUGGAUAGCAAAGCCAGAUUGAAACAAUGUAUAUCUCGGAAGCCCAUGCAUCCUUGGUCUUUUGGGACACACAUCUUCCACCACGCCAUCCAAUGCAUCCUCUUCUGAUUGUCCUCGUCACCCCACCAAAAUUGCGACAUCGCGUCAAUGAUUCCUUUGCAAAAAAAUUUAAGAAUUUUAAAGAUGGACAUAGCAUAAGUUGGGAUAGCUUGUACAACAGCUUUGAGGAGAACUUCCUUUCCUCCAGCAGAUAACAAUUUUUCUUUCCAUCCACUAAUUUUUGUAAUAAUGCGAUCAAUUAGGAAUUGGAAACACUCACUUUUGUCCAUACCCACAUUUGCAAGCAAUCCCAAAUAUUUGUCAUUGAGAGCUUCAGUCAUAAUAUCUCGAAUUGUGCAAAUUUGCGCCUUGUCUUCCACUUUUGUGUUGGGACUAAAGAAAAUACUCGACUUUUCAACGCUCACCUUUUGCCCCGAGGCAGCACAAUAAGAAUCCAAAAUUGAUUUCAACGCCUCCGCAUUCAUAGCACUUGCUUUCAUAAGGAUCAAAGAAUCAUCGGCGAAUAGAAGGUUUGAGAUCGAUGGGGCAUCUCUACAAACCUCAACUCCAGAGAUAUUGUUGGGGAACAUAGUAAUUUCAAAAAAAAUCCUACGCACACGCAAGAUCAUGGUGAUGGCAUAGCAACGAGAGGGGAGAGUAUUGUCCAGGUACCCUCGUAGACCGUAAGCGGAAGCGUUAUGACAACGCGGUUGAUGUAGUCGUACGUCUUCACGAUCCGACCGAUCCAAGUACCGAACGUAUGGCACCUCCGAGUUCAGCACACGUUCAGCUCGAUGACGAUCCCCGGACUUCGAUCCAGCAAAGUGUCGGGGAUGAGUUCUGUUGGCACAACGGUGUGGUGACGAUGAUGAUGUUCUACCAGCGCAGGGCUUCGCCUAAACUCCGCGACGAUAUGACCGAGGUGGAAUAUGAUGGAGGGGGGCACCGCACAUGGCUAAGGAACGAUCCGUAGAUCAACUUGUGUGUUCUAGGGUGCCCCCAUGCCCCCGUAUAUAAAGGAGCCAAGGGGGAGGGGGCGGCCGGCCAAGGAGGGCGCGCCAAGGGGGAGUCCUACUCCCACCGGGAGUAGGACUCCCUUCUUUCCUAGUUGGAGUAGGAGAAGGGGGAAGGAGGAGGAAGAGGGGAAGGAAAGGGGGGGCGCCGCCCCCCUCUCCUUGUCCUAUUCGGACUAGAGAGGGGAGGGGGCGCAGCCCACCUCUUGCCUCCUCUCCUCUUCUCCCUUAGGGCCCAUGAAGGCCCAAUAACCCCCGGGAGGGUUCCGGUAACCCCCCGGUACUCCGGUAAAAUGCCGAUUUCACCCGGAACACUUCCGAUGUCCAAACAUAGGCUUCCAAUAUAUCAAUCUUUAUGUCUUGACCAUUUCGAGACUCCUCGUCAUGUCCGUAAUCACAUAAGGGACUCCGAACAAACUUCGGUACAUCAAAACUUAUAAACUCAUAAUAAAACUGUCAUCGUAACGUUAAGCGUGCGGACCAUACGGGUUCGAGAACUAUGUAGACAUGACCUAGAACUAUUCUUGGUCAAUAACCAAUAGCGGGACCUGGAUGCCCAUAUUGGCUCCUACAUAUUCUACGAAGAUCUUUAUCGGUCAAACCGCAUAACAACAUACGUUGUUCCCUUUGUCAUCGGUAUGUUACUUGCCCGAGACUCGAUCGUCGGUAUCCAAUACCUAGUUUAAUCUCGUUACCGGCAAGUCUCUUUACUCGUUACGUAAUGCAUCAUUUCGUAACUAACUCAUUAGCUACAUUGCUUGCAAGGCUUAUAGUGAUGUGCAUUACCGAGAGGGCCCAGAGAUACCUCUCCGACAAUCAGAGUGACAAAACCUAAUCUCGAAAUACGCCAACCCAACAUGUACCUUUGGAGACACCUGUAGUACUCCUUUAUAAUCACCCAAUUACGUUGUGACGUUUGGUAGCACCCAAAGUGUUCCUCCGGUAAACGGGAGUUGCAUAAUCUCAUAGUUACAGGAACAUGUAUAAGUCAUGAAGAAAGCAAUAGCAAUGUACUAAACGAUCAAGUGCUAAGCUAACGGAAUGGGUCAAGUCAAUCACAUCAUUCUUCUAAUGACGUGAUCCCAUUAAUCAAAUGACAACACAUCUCUAUGGUUAGGAAACAUAACCAUCUUUGAUUAAUGAGCUAGUCAAGUAGAGGCAUACUAGUGACACUAUGUUUGUCUGUAUUCACACAUGUAUUAUGUUUCCGGUUGAAUAAUAAACAUUUAUCAUGAAAUAAGGAAAUAAAUAAUAACUUUAUUAUUGCCUCUAGGGCAUAUUUCCUUCAGUCUCCCACUUGCACUAGAGUCAAUAAUCUAGUUCACAUCGCCAUGUGAUUUAACAUCAAUAUUCAUAUCUGUAUAUGAUUAACACCCAUAGUUCACGUCGUCAUGUGACCAACACCCAAAGGGUUUACUAGAGUCAAUAAUCUAGUUCACAUCGCUUAUGUGAUUAACACCCAAAGAGUACUAAGGUGUGAUCAUGUUUUUCUCGUGAGAGAAGCUUAGUCAACAGGUCUGUCACAUUCCAUAUGUAUUUUGCAAAUAUUCUAUGUCUACAAUGCUCUGCACGGAGCUACUCUAGCUAAUUGCUCCCACUUUCAAUAUGUAUCCAGAUUGAGACUUAGAGUCAUCUGGAUCGGUGUAAAAGCUUGCACCGAUGUAACUCUUUACUACGGGCUCUUUUUUCACCUCCAUAAUCGAGAAAUAUUUCCUUAGUCCUCACUAAGGAUAUUCUUGACCAAUGUCCAGUGAUCUACUCUUAGAUCACUAUUGUACUCCCUUGUCAAAUACAGAGCAAGGUAUACACUAGGUCUGGCACAUAGCAUAGCAUACUUUAUAGAACCUAUGACUGAGGCAUAGGGAAUGACUUUUCAUUUUCUUUCUAUUUUCUGCCAUGGUCUGGUUUUGAGUCUUACUCAACAUCACACCUUUGUAUCACACGCAAGAACUCUUUCUUUGACUGUUCCAUUUUGAACUACUUCAAAAUCUUGUCAAGGUAUGUACUCAUUGAAAAAUCUUAUCAAGCGUUUCGAUCUAUCAAUAUAGAUCUUGAUGCUUAAUGUGUAAGCAGCUUCACCGAGGUCUUUCUUUGAAAAACUCUUAUUCAAGUUGCUAUCCAGAAUUUCUAUAUCAUUUCCAAUCAACAAUAUGUCAUCCACAUAUAAUAUUAGAAAUGCUACAGAGCUCCCACUCACUUUCUUGUAAAUACAGGCCUUUCCAAAAGUCUUUAUAAAACCAUAUGCUUUGAUUAACUCAUCAAAGUGUAUAUUCCAACUCCGAGAUGCUUGCACCAGUCCAUUGAUGGAUCGCUGGAGCUUGCAUAUUUUGUUAACACCUUUCGGAUCGACAAAACCUUCUGGUUGUAUCAUAUACAACUCUCCUUUAAGAAAACCAUUAAGGAAUGCAGUUUUGACAUCCAUUUGCCAGAUUUCAUAAAAUGUGGCAAUUGCUAACAUGAUUCAGACAGACUUAAGCAUCGAUACGAGUGAGAAAAUCUAAUCGUAUUCAACAUUUUGAACUUGUCGAAAACCUUUCACAACAAGUCGAGCUUAGUAGAUAGUAACACUACUAUCAGUGUCCGUCUUCCUCUUGAAGAUCCAUUUAUUUACAUGGCUUGCUGAUCAUCGAGCAAGUCAAUCAAAGUCGAUACUUUGUUCUCAUACAUGGAUCAUAUCUCAGAUUUUAUGGCCUCAAGCCAUUUCACGGAAUCUGGGCUCAUCAUUGCUUCCUCAUAGUUUGUAGGUUCAUCAUGGUCUAGUAACAUGACUUCCAGAACAUGAUUACCGUACCACUCUGGUGCGGACCAUACUCUGGAAGACCUACGAGGUUCUGUAGUAACAUGAUCUGAAGUUUCAUGAUCAUCAUCAUUAGCUUCCUCACUAAUUGGUGUAGGAAUCACUGGAACUGAUUUCAGUGAUGAACUAUUUUCCAAUUCGGGAGAAGGUACAGUUACCUCAUCAAGUUCUACUUUCCUCCCACUCACUUCUUUCGAGAGAAACUCCUUCUCUAGAAAGGAUCCAUUUUUAGCAACGAAUAUCUUGCCUUCGGAUCUGUGAUAGAAGGUGUAUCCAACAGUUUCCUUUGGGUAUUCUAUGAAGACGCACUUCUCUGAUUUGGGUUCGAGCUUAUCAGGUUGAAAAACUGUUUCAUAUAAGCAUCGCAACUCCAAACUUUAAGAAACGACAACUUUGGUUUCUUGCCAAACCAUAGUUCAUAUGUUGUCGUCUCAACGGAUUUAGAUGGUGCCCUUUUAACGUGAAUGCAGCUGUCUCUAAUGCAUAACCCCAAAACAAUAGUGGUAAAUCAGUAAGAGACAUCAUAGAUCGCACCAUAUCCAAUAAAGUGCGGUUACGACGUUCGGACACACCAUAACGUUGUGGUGUUCCAGGUAGCGUGAGCUGUGAAACUAUUCCACAUUGUUUUAAUUGAAGACCAAACUCGUAACUCAAAUAUUUGUCUCCGCGAUCAGAUCGCGGAAACUUUAUUUUCUUGUUACGAUGAUUUUUCCACUUCACUUGAAAUUCUUUGAACCUUUCAACUAUUUCAGACUUAUGUUUCAUCAAGUAGAUAUACCCAUAUCUGCUCAAAUCAUCUUGUGAAGGUCAGAAAAUAACUAUACUUGCCACGAGCAUCAACACUCAUUGGAUUGCAUACAUCGGUAUGUAUUAUUUCCAAUAAGUCAGUAGCUUGUUCCAUUGUUCCAGAGAACGGAGUUUUAGUCAUCUUGCCCAAAAGGCACGGUUCGCAAGCAUCAAAUGAUUCAUAACCAAGUGAUUCCGAAAAUCCAUCUUUAUGGAGUUUCUUCAUGCGCUUUACACUGAUAUGACCCAAACGGCAGUGCCACAAAUAAGUUGCACUAUCAUUAUUAACUUUGCAUCUUUUGGCAUCAAUAUUAUGAAUAUGUGUAUCACUACGAUCAAGAUCCAACAAACUAUUUUCAUUGGGUGUAUAACCAUCGAAGGUCUUAUUCAUGUAAACAGAAUAACAAUUAUUCUUUAACUUCAAAUGAAUAAUUGUAUCGCAAUAAACAUGAUCAAAUCAUAUUCAUGCUCAACGCAAACGCUAAAUAACAUUUAUUUAGGUUUAACACUAAUCCCGAAAGUAUAGGGAGUGUGUGAUGAUGAUCAUAUCAAUCUUGGAACUAUUUCCAACACUCAUCGUCACUUCCCCUCAACUAGUCUCUGUUUAUUCUGUAACUCCUGUUUCGAGUUACUAAUUGUUGGAAAUAUGCCCUAGAGGCAAUAAUAAAUAAGUUAUUAUUAUAUUUCCUUGUUCAUGAUAAUCGUUUAUUAUCCAUGCUAUAAUUGUAUUGAUAGGAAACUCAGAUACAUGUGUGGAUACAUAGACAACACCAUGUCCCUAGUAAGCCUCUAAUUGACUAGCUCGUUGAUCAAUAGAUGGUUACGGUUUCCUGACCAUGGACAUUGGAUGUCGUUGAUAACGGGAUCACAUCAUUAGGAGAAUGAUGUGAUGGACAAGACCCAAUCCUAAGCCUAGCACAAAGAUCGUAGUUCGUAUGCUAAAGCUUUUCUAAUGUCAAGUAUCAUUUCCUUAGACCAUGAGAUUGUGCAACUCCCGGAUACUGUAGGAAUGCUUUGGGUGUACCAAACGUCACAACGUAACUGGGUGGCUAUAAAGGUGCACUACAGGUAUCUCCGAAAGUGUCUGUUGGGUUGGCACGAAUCGAGACUGGGAUUUGUCACUCCGUGUAAACGGAGAGGUAUCUCUGGGCCCACUCGGUAGGACAUCAUCAUAAUGUGCACAAUGUGACCAAGGGGUUGAUCACGGGAUGAUGUGUUACGAAACGAGUAAAGAGACUUGCCGGUAACGAGAUUGAACAAGGUAUCGGUAUACCGACGAUCGAAUCUCGGGCAAGUACAAAUACCGCUCGACAAAGGGAAUUGUAUACGGGAUUGAUUGAGUCCUUGACAUCGUGGUUCAUCCGAUGAGAUCAUCGUGGAACAUGUGGGAGCCAACAUGGGUAUCCAGAUCCCGCUGUUGGUUAUUGACCGGAGAACGUCUCGGUCAUGUAUGCAUGGUUCCCGAACCCGUAGGGUCUACACACUUAAGGUUCGAUGACGCUAGGGUUAUAAAGGAAGUUUGUAUGUGGUUACCGAAUGUUGUUCGGAGUCCCGGAUGAGAUCUCAGACGUCACGAGGAGUUCCAAAAUGGUCCGGAGGUAAAGAUUUAUAUAUGGGAAGUCCUAUUUUGGCCACCGGAAAAUGUUCGGGAUUUUUCGGUAUUGUACCGGGAAGGUUCUAGAAGGUUCCAGAGUGGGGCCCACCUGCAUGGGGGACCCACAUGAACGUGGGUAGUGGGGGCAAGGCCCCACACCCCUGGUCAAGGCGCACCAAGAUCCCCCCUUAGAAGGAAUAAGAUCAUAUCCCGAAGGGAUAAGAUCAAGAUCCCUAAAAAGGGGGAAUAACAAUCGGUGUGGAAGGAAAUGAUGGGAUUUCUUUCCUCCCACCUUUGCCAACGCCCCAAUGGACUUGGAGGGCAAGAAACCAGCCCCUCCACCCCUAUAUAUAGUGGGGAGGCGCAUGGGAGCUUCACACAAGUUCUGGCGCAGCCCUCCCCCUCUCCCAAGUACUCCUCCUCUCCCGCGGUGCUUGGCGAAGCCCUGCAGGAUUGCCACGCUCCUCCACCACCACCACGCCGUCGUGCUGCUGCUGGAUGGAGUCUUCCUCAACCUCUCCCUCUCUCCUUGCUGGAUCAAGGCAUGGGAGACGUCACCGGGCUGUACGUGUGUUGAACGCGGAGGUGCCGUCCGUUCGGCACUAGGAUCUCCGGUGAUUUGGAUCACGACGAGUACGACUCCUUCAACCCCGUUCUCUUGAACGCUUUCGCUUAGCGAUCUACAAGGGUAUGUAGAUGCACUCUCCUUCCCCUCGUUGUUGGUUUCUCCAUAGAUAGAUCUUGGUGACACGUAGGAAAAUUUUGAAUUUCUGCUACGUUCCCCAACAGUGGCAUCAUGAGCUAGGUCUAUUGCGUAGAUUCUUUGCACGAGUAGAACACAAAGUAGUUGUGGGCGUUGAUUUUGUUCAAUAUGCUUACCAUUACUAGUGCAAUCUUGUUUCGACGGUAUUGUGGGAUGAAGCGGCCCGGACCGACCUUACACGUACACUUAUGUGAGACAGGUUCCACCGACUGACAUGCACUUGGUGCAUAAGGUGGCUAGCGGGUGCCAGUCUCUCCCACUUUAGUCGAAACGGAUUCGAUGAAAAGGGUCCUUAUGAAGGGUAAAUAGCAAUUGUCAUAUCAUGUUGUGGUUUUGCGUAGGUAAGAAACGUUCUUGCUAGAAACCCAUAGCAGCCACAUAAAACAUGCAAACAACAAUUAGAGGACGUCUAACUUGUUUUUGCAGGGUAUGCUAUGUGAUGCGAUAUGGCCAAGAAGAAUGUGAUGAAUGAUAUGUGAUGUAUGAGAUUGAUCAUGUUCUUGUAAUAGGAAUCACGACUUGCAUGUCGAUGAGUAUGACAACAGGCAGGAGCCAUAGGAGUUGUCUUUAUUUAUUGUAUGACCUGCGUGUCAUUGAACAACGCCAUGUAAUUACUUUACUUUAUUGCUAACCGGUAGCCAUAGUAGUAGAAGUAAUAGUUGGCGAGACAACUUCAUGAAGACACGAUGAUGGAGAUCAUGAUGAUGGAGAUCAUGGUGUCAUGCCGGUGACGAUGAUGAUCAUGGAGCCCCGAAGAUGGAGAUCAAAAGGAGCAAAAUGAUAUUGGCCAUAUCAUGUCACUAUUUGAUUGCAUGUGAUGUUUAUCAUGUUUAUACAUCUUAUUUGCUUAGAACGACGGUAGUAAAUAAGAUGAUCCCUCAUUAAAAUUUCAAGAAAGUGUUCCCCCUAACUGUGCACCAUUGCGAAAGUUCGUCAUUUCUAAGCACCACGUGAUGAUCGGGUGUGAUGGAUUCUUACGUUCACAUACAACGGGUGUAAGACAGAUUUACACACGCGAAACACUUAGGUUGACUUGACGAGCCUAGCAUGUACAGACAUGGCCUCGGAACACAAGAGACCGAAAGGUCGAGCAUGAGUCGUAUAGUAGAUACGAUCAGCAUGAAGAUGUUCACCGAUGAUGACUAGUCCGUCUCACGUGAUGACCGGACACGGCCUAGUUGACUCGGAUCAUGUAAUCACUUAGAUGACUAGAGGGAUGUCUAUCUGAGUGGGAGUUCAUAAGAUGAACUUAAUUACCCUGAACAUAGUCAAAUGAUCUUUGCAAAUUAUGUCGUGAGCUCGCGCUUUAGUUCCACUAUUUAGAUAUGUUCCUCGAGAAAAUAUAGUUGAAAGUUAACAUUAGCGAUUAUGCGGACAGUAGAAAGCUUAUGUCCUUAAUGCACCGCUCAGUGUGCUGAACCCCAAACAUCAUUUGUGGAUGUUGCGAACAUGGGACAUACACGUUUUGAUAACUACGUGAUAGUUCAGUUAAAUGGUUUAGAGUAGAGGCACCAAAGACGUUUUCGAUACAUCGCGGAACAUAUGAGAUGUUUCGAGGGCUGAAAUUGGGAUUUCAGGCUCGUGCCCACGUCAAGAGGUAUGAGACCUCCGACGAUUUUCUUAGCCUGCAAACUAAGGGAGAAAAACUCAAUCGUUGAGCUUGUGCUCAGAUUGUCUGAGUGCAACAAUCACUUGAAUCGAGUGGGAGUUGAUCUUCCAGAGAUAGUGAUGUUUCUCCAAAGUCAUUGCCACCAAGCUGCUAGAGCUUCGUGAUGAACUAUAACAUAUCAGGGAUAGAUAUGAUGAUCCUUGAGGUAUUCGCGAUGUUUGACACCGCGAAAGUAGAAAUCAAGAAGGAGCAUCAAUUGUUGAUGGUUGGUGAAACCACUAGUUUCAAAAAGGGCAAGGGCAAGAAGGGAUACUUCAUGAAACAGCAAAUCAGCUGCUGCUCUAAUGAAGAAACCCAAGGUUCAACCCAAACCCGAGACUAAGUGCUUCUGUAAUAAGGGGAACAGCCACUGGAGCAGAAUUACCCUAGAUACUUGGUAGAUGAGAAGGCUGGCAAGGUCGAUAGAAGUAUAUUGGAUAUACAUUAUGUUAAUGUGUACUUUACUAGUACUCCUAGUAGCACCAGGGUAUUAAGAUACCGGUACGGUUGCUAAAUGCUAGUAACUCGAAAUAAAAGAGCUACGGAAUAAACUGAGACUAGCUAAAGGUGAGCUGACAAUAUGUGCUGGAAGUGUUUCCAAGUUUGAUGUGAUCAAACAUCGCACGCUCCCUCUACCAUCAAGAUUAGUAUUAAACCUGAAUAAUUGUCAUUUGGUGUUUGCGUUGAACAUAGACAUAAUUGGAUUAUGUCUAUCGCAAUACGAUUAUUCAUUUAAGGAGAAUAAUGGUUACUCUAUUUAUUUGAAUAAUACCUUCAAUGGUCUUGCACCUAAAGGAAUGGUUUAUUGAAUCUCGAUCGUAGUGAUACACAUUUUCAUGCCAAAAGAUAUAAGAUAGUAAUGGUAGUACCACUUACUUGUGACACUGCCAUGUAAGUCAUAUUGGUAUAAAACGCAUGAAGAAGCUCCAUGUUGAUGGAUCUUUGAACUCACUCAUUUUUGAAAAGGUUGAGACAUGCGAACCAUGUCUAUUGGUGCAUACGCAUGAAGAAACUCCAUGCAGAUGGAUCGUUUAGACUCACUUGAUUUUGAAUCACUUGAGAUAUGCAAAUCAUACCACAUGGGCAAGAUGACUGAAAAGCCUCGUUUUCAGUAAGAUGGAACAAGAUAGCAACUUGUUGGAAGUAACACAUUUUGAUGUGUGCAGUCCAAUGAGUGCUGAGGCAUGCAGUGAAUAUCGUUAUGUUCUUACUUCACAGAUGAUUCGAGUAGAUGUUGAGUAUAUUUACUUGAUGAAACACAAGUCUGAAUUAUUGAAUGGUUCAAGUAAUUUCAGAGUGAAGUUUAAGAUCUUCGUGACAAGAGGAUAAAAUGUCUAUGAUAUGAUCAUAGAGAUGAAUAUCUGAGUUACGAGUUUUGGCACACAAUUAAGACAUUGUGGAGAUUGUUUCACAACCAAUACCGCCUGGAACACCAUAGUGUGAUGGUGUGUCCGAACAUCAUAACUGCACCCUAUUGGAUAUGGUGCAUACCAUGAUGUCUAUUAUCAAAUUACCGCUAUCGUUUAUGGGUUAGGCAUUAGAGACAACCACAUUCACUUUAAAUAGGGCACCACGUAAUUCCGUUGAGAUGACACCAUAUGAACUAUGGUUUAGAGAAACCUAAGCUGUCAUUUCUUAAAGGUUUGGGGCUGCGACGCUUAUGUGAAAAAGUUUCAGGUUGAUAAACUCGAACCCAAAGCGGAUAAAAUGCAUCUUCAUAGGACACCCAAAACAGUUGGGUAUACCUCCUAAUUCAGAUCCGAAAGCAAUAGGGAUUGUUUCUUGAAUCGGGUCCUUUCUCGAGGAAAAGUUUGUCUCAAAAAGUUGAGUGGGAGGAUGGUGGAGACUUGAUAUGGUUACUGAACCGUCACUACAACUAGUGUGUAGCAGGGCACAGGAAGUUGUUCAUGUGGCACCUACACCAAUUGAAGUAGAAGCUUAUGAUAUUGAUCAUGAAACUUCGGAUCAAGUCACUACCAUGCCUCGUAGGGUGACAAGGAUGCAUACUACUUCAGAGUGGUACAGUAAUCCUGUCUUGAAGGUCAUGUUGCUAGACAACAAUGAACCUACGAGCUAUGGAGAAGCGAUGGUGGCCCUUAUUCCGACAAAUGGUUUGAAGCCAUGAAAUCUGAGAUAGGAUCCAUGUAUCAGAACAAAGCAUGGACUUUGGUGGACUUGCCCGAUGAUCGGCAAGCCAUUGAGAUAAAUGGAUCUUUAAGAAGAAGACGGACGUGGACGGUAAUGUCACCGUCUAUGAAGCUCGACUUAUGGUGAAGAGUUCUUCACAAGUUCAAGGAGUUGACUACGAUGAGAUUUUCUCAUCCGUAGCGAUGCUUAAGUCCGUCGGAAUCAUGUUAGCACAAGCUGCGUUUAUGAAAUCUGGCAGAUGGAUGUCAAAACGAGUUUCCUUACCAGUUUUCGUAAGGAAAGGUUGUAUGCGAUACAAUCAGAAAGUUUUUGUCGAUCCUAAGGAUGCUAAAAGGUAUGCUAGCUCCAGUGAUCCUUCCAUGGACUGGAGUAAGCAUCUCGGAGUUGGAAUGUGCGCUUUGAUGAGAUGAUCAAAGAUUUUGGGUUUAUACAAAGUUUAUGAGAAACUUGUAUUUCCAAAGAAGUGAGUGGGAGCACUAUAGAAUUUCUGAUGAGUAUAUGUUGUUGACAUAUUGAUGAUCAGAAAUGAUGUAGAAUUUCUAGAAAGCAUAUAGGGUUGUUUAAAAAGUGUUUUUCAAGGGAAAACCUGGAUUAAGCUACUUGAACAUUGAGCAUCAAGAUCUAUGAGGAUGGAUCAAAACGCUUAAUGGUACUUUCAAAAUGAGCACAUACCUUGACAUGAUCUUGAAGGUGUUCAAGAUGGAUCAGUCAAAGAAGGAGUUCUUGGCUGAGUUGUAAGGUAUGAAGUUAAGACUUAAAGAUCGACCACGGUAGAAAAGAGAGAAAGGACGAAGGUCAUCCCCUAUGCUUUAGACGUAGGCUCUAUAGUAUGCUAUGCUGAGUACCGCACCUGAUGUGUGCCUUGCCACAUGUCUGGCAAGAGGGUACAAAGGUGAUCAAGGAGUGGAUCACUACAUAGCGGUCAAAGUUAUCCUUAGAGGAAUAAGGAUAUGUUUCUCGAUUAUGGAGGUGUUAAAGAGUUCAGCGUAAAGGGUUACGUCGAUGCAAGCUUUAACACCUAUCUGAAUGACUCUGAGUAGCAAACUGGAUACGUAUAGUGGAACAACCAUUUGGAAUAGCUCCAAGUGGAGCGUAGAAGCAGCAUUUACAAUAUGACAUAGAGAAUUGCGAAGUACAUACGGAUCUGAAUGUUGCAGACCCGUUGACUAAAACCUCUCUCACAAGCAAAACAUGAUCAAACCCCAGAACUCAUUGAGUCUUAAUCACAUGAUGAUGUGAACUAGUUUAAUGACACUAGUAAACUCUUUGGAUGUUGGUCACAUGGCGAUGUGACCUGUGAGUGUUAAUCACAUGGCGAUGUGAACUAGAUUAUUGACUCUAGUGCAAGUGGGAGACUGUUGGAAAUAUGCCCUAGAGGCAAUAAUAAAUAAGUUAUUAUUAUAUUUCCUUGUUCAUGAUAAUCAUUUAUUAUCCAUGCUAUAAUUGUAUUGAUAGGAAACUCAGAUACAUGUGUGGAUACAUAGACAACACCAUGUCCCUAGUAAGCCUCUAAUUGACUAGCUUGUUGAUCAAUAGAUGGUUAUGGUUUCCUGACCAUGGACAUUGGAUGACGUUGAUAACGGGAUCACAUCAUUAGGAGAAUGAUGUGAUGGACAAGACCCAAUCCUAAGCCUAGCACAAAGAUCGUAGUUCGUAUGCUAAAGCUUUUCUAAUGUCAAGUAUCAUUUCCUUAGACCAUGAGAUUGUGCAACUCCCAGAUACCGUAGGAAUGCUUUGGGUGUACCAAACGUCACAACGUAACUGGGUGGCUACAAAGGUGCACUACAGGUAUCUCCGAAAGUGUCUGUUGGGUUGGCACGAAUCGAGACUGGGGUUUGUCACUCCAUGUAAACGGAGAGGUAUCUCUGGGCCCACUCGGUAGGACAUCAUCAUAAUGUGCACAAUGUGACCAAGGGGUUUAUCACGGGAUGAUGUGUUACGGAACGAGUAAAGAGACUUGCCAGUAACGAGAUUGAACAAGGUAUCGGUAUACCGACGAUCGAAUCUCGGGCAAGUAUAAAUAUCGCUGGACAAAGGGAAUUGUAUACGGGAUUGAUUGAGUCCUUGACAUCGUGGUUCAUCCGAUGAGAUCAUCGUGGAACAUGUGGGAGCCAACAUGGGUAUCCAGAUCCCGCUGUUGGUUAUUGACCGGAGAACGUCUCGGUCAUGUCUGCAUGGUUCCCGAACCCGUAGGGUCUACACACUUAAGGUUCGAUGACGCUAGGGUUAUAAAGGAAGUUUGUAUGUGGUUACCGAAUUUUGUUCGGAGUCCCGGAUGAGAUCCCGGACAUCACGAGGAGUUCCGGAAUGGUCCGGAGGUAAAGAUUUAUAUAUGGAAAGUCCUAUUUUGGCCACCGGAAAAUGUUCGAGAUUUUUCGGUAUUGUACCGGGAAGGUUCUAGAAGGUUCCAGAGUGGGGCCCACCUGCAUGGGGGACCCACAUGAACGUGGGUAGUGGGGGCAAGGCCCCACACCCCUGGUCAAGGCGCACCAAGAUCCCCCCUUAGAAGGAAUAAGAUCAUAUCCCGAAGGGAUAAGAUCAAGAUCCCUAAAAAGGGGGGAUAACAAUCGGUGUGGAAGGAAAUGAUGGGAUUUCUUUCCUCCCACCUUCGCCAACGCCCCAAUGGACUUGGAGGGCAAGAAACCAGCCCCUCCACCCCUAUAUAUAGUGGGGAGGCGCAUGGGAGCUUCACACAAGUUCUGGCGCAGCCCUCCCCCUCUCCCAAGUACUCCUCCUCUCCCGCGGUGCUUGGCGAAGCCCUGCAGGAUUGCCACGCUCCUCCACCACCACCACGCCGUCGUGCUGCUGCUGGAUGGAGUCUUCCUCAACCUCUCCCUCUCUCCUUGCUGGAUCAAGGCAUGGGAGACGUCACCGGGCUGUACGUGUGUUGAACGCGGAGGUGCCGUCCGUUCGGCACUAGGAUCUCCGGUGAUUUGGAUCACGACGAGUACGACUCCUUCAACCCCGUUCUCUUGAACGCUUCCGCUUAGCGAUCUACAAGGGUAUGUAGAUGCACUCUCCUAACCCUCGUUGUUGGUUUCUUCAUAGAUAGAUCUUGAUGACACGUAGGAAAAUUUUGAAUUUCUGCUACGUUCCCCAACACUAAUCUUAGUAACCCAACAAGUAUCAAAUACUCAGGGGCUACUAUAAACACUAGUAAGGCACAUCAAUAACCUGUAUAUCAAAUAUACCCUUGUUCACUUUGCCAUCCUUCUUAUCCACCAUAUAUUCAGGGCGUUUCUGCUUCCAGUGACCAUUUCCUUUGCAGUGUAAGCACUCAGUUUCAGGCUUUGGUCCAGCUUUGGUCUUCUUCGCGGGAGUGACAACUUGUUUGCCAUUCUACUUGAAGUUCCCCUUUCUUUUCCUUUGCCCUUUUCUUGAAACUAGUGGUCUUGGCAAUCAUCAACACUUGAUGCUCUUUCUUGAUUUCUACCUUCGUCGUUUUCAGCAUCACGAAGAGCUCGGGAAUCGUUUUUGUCAUCCCUUGCAUUAUAGUUCAUCACGAAGUUCUACUAACUUGGUGGUGGUGACUAGAGAAUUAUGUCAAUCACUAUCUUAUCUGGAAGAUUAACUCCCACUUGAUUCAAGCGAUUGUAGUACUCAAACAAUUUGAGCACAUGCUCACUAGUUGAGCGAUUCUCCUCCAUCUUUUAGCUAUAGAACUUGUUGGAGACUUCAUAUCUCUCAACUCGGGUAUUUGCUUGAAAUAUUAACUUCAAUUCCUGGAACAUCUCAUAUGGUCCAUGACGUUCAAAACGUCUUUGAAGUCCCGAUUCUAAGCCGUUAAGCAUGAUGCACUAAACUAUCAAGUAGUCAUCAUAUUGAGCUAGCCAAACGUUCAUAACGUCUGCAUCUGCUCCUGCAAUAGGUUUGUCACCUAGCGGUGCAUCAAGGACAUAAUUCUUCUGCGCAGCAAUGAGGAUAAACCUCAGAUCACGGAUCCAAUCCGCAUCAUUGCUACUAACAUCUUUCAACACAAUUUUCUCUAGGAACAUAUUAAAAUAAACAUAUGAAAGCAACAACACAAGCUAUUGAUCUACAACAUAAUUUGCAAAAUACUACCAGGACUAAGUUCAUGAUAAAUUUAAGUUCAAUUAAUCAUAUUACUUAAGAACUCCCACUUAGACAGACAUCUCUCUAGUCAUCUAAGUGAUUACGUGAUCCAAAUCAACUAAACCAUGUCCGAUCAUCACGUGAGAUGGAGUAGUUUCAAUGGUGAACAUCACUAUGUUGAUCAUAUCUACUAUAUGAUUCAUGUUCGACCUUUCGGUCUCCGUGUUCCGAGGCCAUAUCUGUAUAUGCUAGGCUCAUCAAGUUUAACCUGAGUAUUCCGCGUGUCCAACUGUUUUGCACCCGUUGUAUUUGAACGUAGAGCAUAUCACACCCGAUCAUCACGUGGUGUCGCAGCACGAAGAACUUUCACAACGGUGCAUACUCAGGGAGAACACUUCUUGAUAAUUAGUGAGAGAUCAUCUUAUAAUGCUACCAUCAAACAAAACAGAAUAAGAUGUAUAACAGAUAAACAUCAUAUGCAAUCAAAAUAUGUGACAUGAUAUGGCCAUGAUCAUCUUGCGCCUUUGAUCUCCAUCUCCAAAGUACUGUCAUGAUCUCUAUCGUUACCGGCACGACACCAUGAUCUUCAUCAUCUUGAUCUAUAUCAAUGUGUCGUCACAUGGUCAUUUCGCCAACUGUUGCUAUUGCAUAGCGAUAAAGUAAAGCAAUUAUUUGGCACUUGCAUCUUUAUGCAACAAAGAGACAACCAUAGGGCUUCUGCCAGUUGCCGAUAACUUCAACAAAACAUGAUCAUCUCAUACAAUAAAAUAUAGCAUCACGUCUUGACCACAUCACAUCACAACAUGCCCUACAAAAACAAGUUAGACGUCCUCUACUUUGUUGUUGUAAAUUUUACGUGGCUGCUACGGGCUUAGCAAGAACCGUUCUUACCUACGCAUUAAAACCACAACGAUAGUUCGUCAAGUUAGUGAUGUUUUAACCUUCGCAAGGACCGGGCAUAGCCACACUCGGUUCAACUAAAGUUGGAGAAACAGACACCCGCUAGUCACCUGUGUGCAAAGCACGGCGGUAAAACCAAUCUCGCGUAAGCGUACGCGUAAUGUCGGUCCGGGCCGCUUCAUCCAACAAUUCCGCUGAACCAAAGUAUGACAUGCUGGUAAGCAGUAUGACUUGUAUCACCCACAACUCACUUAUGUUCUACUCGUGCAUAUGACAUCUACGCAUAAAACCUAGCUCUGAUACCACUGUUGGGGAACGUAGUAAUUUCAAAAAAAUUCCUACGCACACGCAAGAUCAUGGUGAUGGCAUAGCAACGAGAGGGGAGAGUAUUAUCCAUGUACCCUCGUAGACCGUAAGCGGAAGCUUAUGACAACGCGGUUGAUGUAGUCAUACGUCUUCACGAUCCGACCGAUCCAAGUACCGAACGUACGGCACCUCCGAGUUCAGCACACGUUCAGCUCGAUGACGAUCCCCGGACUCCGAUCCAGCAAAGUGUCGGGGAUGAGUUCUGUCAGCACGACGGCGUGGUGACGAUGAUGAUGUUCUAUCGGCGCAGGGCUUCGCCUAAACUCCGCGACGAUAUGACCGAGGUGGAAUAUGAUGGAGGGGGCACCGCACACGGCUAAGGAACGAUCCGUAGAUCAACUUGUGUGUUCUAGGGUGCCCCCCUGCCCCCGUAUAUAAAGGAGCCAAGGGGGAGGGGGCGGCCGGCCAGGAGGGCGCGCCAAGGGGGAGUCCUACUCCCACCGGGAGUAGGACUCCCUUCUUUCCUAGUUGGAGUAGGAGAAGGGGGAAGGAGGAGGAAGAGGGGAAGGGAAGGGGGGCGCCACCCCCCUCUCCUUGUCCUAUUCGGACUAGAGAGGGGAGGGGGCGCAGCCCACCUCUUGCCUCCUCUCCUCUUCUCCCUUAGGGCCCAUGAAGGCCCAAUAACCCCCGGGAGGGUUCCGGUAACCCCCCGGUACUCCGGUAAAAUGCCGAUUUCACCCAGAACACUUCCGAUGUCCAAACAUAGGCUUCCAAUAUAUCAAUCUUUAUGUCUCGACCAUUUCGAGACUCCUCGUCAUGUCCGUGAUCAUAUCCGGGACUCCGAACAAACUUCGGUACAUCAAAACUUAUAAACUCAUAAUAAAACUGUCAUCGUAACGUUAAGCGUGCAGACCCUACGGGUUCGAGAACUAUGUAGACAUGACCUAGAACUAUUCUUGGUCAAUAACCAAUAGCGGGAACUGGAUGCCCAUAUUGGCUCCUACAUAUUCUACGAAGAUCUUUAUCGGUCAAACCGCAUAACAACAUACGUUGUUCCCUUUGUCAUCGGUAUGUUACUUGCCCGAGAUUCGAUCGUCGGUAUCCAAUACCUAGUUUAAUCUCGUUACCGGCAAGUCUCUUUACUCGUUACAUAAUGCAUCAUUCCGUAACUAACUCAUUAGCUACAUUUCUUGCAAGGCUUAUAGUGAUGUGCAUUACCGAGAGGGCCCAGAGAUACCUCUCCGACAAUCGGAGUGACAAAACCUAAUCUCGAAAUAUGCCAACCCAACAUGUACCUUUGGAGACACCUGUAGUACUCCUUUAUAAUCACCUAGUUACGUUGUGACGUUUGGUAGCACCCAAAGUGUUCCUCCGAUAAACGGGAGUUGCAUAAUCUCAUAGUUACACGAACAUGUAUAAGUCAUGAAGAAAGCAAUAGCAAUGUACUAAACGAUCAAGUGCUAAGCUAACUGAAUGGGUCAAGUCAAUCACAUCAUUCUUCUAAUGACGUGAUCCCAUUAAUCAAAUGACAACACAUGUCUAUGGUUAGGAAACAUAACCAUCUUUGAUUAAUGAGCUAGUCAAGUAGAGGCAUACUAGUGACACUAUGUUUGUCUAUGUAUUCACACAUGUAUUAUGUUUCCAGUUAAUACAAUUCUAGCAUGAAUAAUAAACAUUUAUCAUGAAAUAAGGAAAUAAAUAAUAACUUUAUUAUUGCCUCUAGGGCAUAUUUCCUUCAAAUAUUACCAUUCUCCUCCGCAUUAGCUAGAAGAGCCGUCAGCCCCACUGUACAUAGCAAGAAUAAAUAUGGAGAGAGAGGAUCUCCCUGCCUCAAACCUCUAGUAGGUUUAAAACUCUCAGUCUCUUUAGUAUUAAAGUGAACCCGGUACUCCACCGAAGAUACACACUGCAUAAUUAAAUUUACCCAGUUCUCUUGGAAUCCCAAUUUCAACAUAAUUUCCUUCAGAAUAGAACACUCUACCCGGUCGUACGCUUUGUGCAUAUCCAAUUUGAUGGCACACAUACCCUCUUUACCAUUCCUUUUUUUCUUUAUUGUAUGGAAACACUCGUACGCCACUAAAAUGUUAUCUGUAAUCAUUCUUCCGGGUACAAAUGCACUCUGAGUCGUGCUGAUAAUAUCUGGAAGAAUUAUCUUCAAACGAGCCGCAAUCAUUUUUGAAAUAACCUUAUACACCACAUUGCACAAACUGAUUGGUCUAAACUGAUUUAUCUUUUCUGGAGAACUAACCUUUGGGAUCAUUACAAUUGCUGUAUCAUUCCACCCAUCAGGUUUAGUACAAGUAUUCACCGCCUGGAGUACCUCCUCGGUCAGAUCAUCCCCCAACAUAGACCAAAAUCUUUUAUAAGGUUAUUUCAAAAAUAGCGUGUAACCCAUCCGGACCCGGCGCUUUUAAAUCUCCAAUAUCAAAUAGAGCCUUCCAAACCUCCUCAGUUGUAUAAGGGGCUAGGAGAGAAUUAUUCAUUUCUUCUGUCACUUUUCUUCUCACAAGAGAUAGAACCUCCGGGUUCGGUUGAUCAACUUCUGAGGUAAAGAGAUUUGAAAAAUACCCCAUAAUAUGGUUCUUCAUCUCCGUAUCUUGCACCCAAUUACCGUUUUCAUCAAGCAAUUUUUUAAUUUGAUUUCUUUUUUUUCUAGUCAUUGCUGCAUUAUGGAAAAAGGAAGUGUUGCGAUCACCAUAUAACAACCAGUUUGCGCGGCCCCUUUGUAACCAGUAGAUUCUUGCUCUAAGAGAUUUUCAAUAAGGACAAGAAUCUCUUUUUGUCUCGCUUGUGACUCCGCAUUCAUGGGACCUCUUCGUUGUUUUUCUAAUUCUUUUUUUAGUUUAUUAAUUCUUUUUUUCGGUCCUCUAAGAAUAUCACGGUCCCAAGUGUGCAAAUCCGCAUUCACCGCCCGUGUACGCUCGGCAAGAGAAGGCCCAAUACCUCGCAUCUUUGCUUUUUCCCAUGCUGUACGUACAAUUUCUUCAACUGUCUCUUCUUUGAGCCAUCGAGCUUCAAACUGUUUCAGUCGGCUCCUUGGUUGAUUAAACAUACUACCAUCAAAAUAUUCCGUAUCCAGGAUUAGAGGACGAUGAUCAGAAUGUACAUGUUCUUCAUUUAUAACUACGGGCCGAGGAAAUUUGUUCGCCCAUUCCACAUUACAAACCGCACGGUCAAGCCUCUCCCUAAUAUCGCCCCUCCUCCAAGUGAAAAGGUCUCCAAUACAUCCCAUGUCUUCCAAACCGCACUCUCCCAAACAAUUACGAAAUUCUCAUCACUGCAUUAGGUCUCGCAUUGCCUCCCUCUUUUUCCGAAGAAAGUAGAAUUUCAUUGAAGUCUCCCAAAAUCACCCAAGGGUGGUCACCUUUAUUGUGCAAAUUACGGAUAUCAUCCAAAGACAAGUUAGGUUCACACCAAUUCGGAUGACCAUAAAAACCGGUAAAACGCCAUUGUACAAUAUUGUCAUUCAUAAACAAAACAUCAAUAAAAUUGGCCGACUCAUAGUUUAAAACAACUUUAUUCAUCUUGUGAUAAAACAUAACUAGGCCACCGGAGGCCCGCCCAUCGCUCUCCACUACAAACAUCGAAUCAAAAUUUAAAACACGACAUAUCUCAUCGGCUUUACAUUUAUUCAAAUGAGACUCUGAAAGAAAAAUCAAGUCCGCCGUUUAGUUCGCCCUUGUAGAUCCAAGAGCUCGCGAACUGCCAUGGGGGAGAGCAUACCAUGGCAGUUCCACCCUAUGACUUUCAUUUGGCCCGGCGGACCUCCUCCUCGGAGGCCGCCAAUGCGCCAUCAUCUCCAACCGAUUCCCUCCUUUGCUGCACACAUGCCUCUUCUUUUCCCUCUAUCUCCUUUGCUACGUGUGUGGUGACCCCAUCUCCAUCUGUCACUGUUUCCACCCUACUCGUACACACUCGCUUAGAAGAAGCACACCUAGUAGAGUAGUAGGUUAGUUAAUGGUUAGUCCCCAUCACUAAUCAGUUUGCCAAGGAAGCAUCCUUGCAAUCUCACCGCAAACCCUGCCAACCCAAUUAUCGUUCAUCCCCGAACCACCACUUCCCCUUCAUCCCAACGCAAGUCCAUAAUAAUUCCAAGAAGAAAAUAAAUGGGUGAUGUGACUGAUGCGGAAAGGAAAUUCAAAUAUAUAUACGCGCUCAGCAGAGAGCAGUGCACACAAAAUUCAAACAUAUAUUAUUAAACCACUGUCUCCGAUGCAAAAUACUUUGAUCCUUUCUUUCUUUCUUUCAGGGGAACAAAGAAAGAAACAAACAUGGAGCCUCAUUCGACGUCGAACCCCUUCUCCUGGAGCUCCUGCACCACCUCAUUGCGCAUCCGGAGCCACAGCUUGCGCUCCUGGUCAAACUUCUUCGACUGCGGCUGCUUCUGCAUGUUGUCCGAGUCCAUGUUGGCGUCCGCGAACCCCUUGGGCCCGAUCGUCGUGCCCAGGGCGCCCCCGCUCUAUUUGAACUCCUCCACCGCAUCCUCGUCACCCGGGUACACGAACUCCCUACGCUCGUACAGAUGCGUCAGUGGGCCGGAGUGGGCUAACUAAGGAGGCCUCGUCUCGCUACUUAAGCGAGGAAGAAGAGAAGGGCGGACAUCCAGUGGAUCAAGGCAACGGCGGCACGACUCCUUUCUCCUUUCCCCUUCCACCUACUAAGAACCCUAGCCUUCCUGAUUCAUGUACUUCGUCUGUAAUCGCCACUAAACAUUCAUCUAUGAAUGAGACGGGGGCCUUUACUACUACUGCAUUGCUGGCUGGAAACUGCUUACCGACGGCCGGCCGGACGGGGCGAGGAGACGGCGAGGCGCCUCCCUCCAGCGGUGCGAGAGGGAGGAGAGGACGAGAAGUUUCGGGGAAGAAGAAGAGGACAAGGAGAGUAUGAAUAGACGACUAGUUGCUCCCUCUCCUCUCGCUGCCUGCCUGCGAGUUAUUAAUUCUUUCUGACUUUGGUCAAGCCGAGUUAAUUAGUCCUAACGGCGACCGGGACGGCCCAGUCGUGCAGCCGGGCUUUUUGGGCCUUCUCCGGUGACCUUUCGAUGAUGCUAACAAAAGCAAUUGACCAUGUUGCCUAAAAAAAGCAAUUAACCAUGUGAAUGAAAAAUGCCCCUCCAUUCCUAAAUAAGACCUUCUAGAGAUUCUAAUAUGAACUACACGCAGAGCAAAAUGAUUGAAUCUACACUCCAAAAUAUGUCUUUGUACAUCCGUAUGUAGUCUGCAUUGAAAUCUCUAAAAGACUUGUAUUUACAAACGGAGGGGGUACAAAAUUCUACAAAAAGUGGGGGGAAAUCUACUACUACUCUCCGAUCCAAAAUUCAAUGUACUAAAGCAGCGUCAAUUAAUUUGGAUCGGAGAAAGUUUCUACUAUCUCUGAAACCUAGUAUAAUACUUUUUUUUAACACUGAGAUAGUGUCCAAAAUCAUCUUAUAUCAAGUUACGGAGGGAGUAUAUACUACUUAUAAAAGCAUGAGUUUGAUGAAUCCAAAUGAUCUGAGCCAUCCAACCACCUAUAUCCAAUGUCUCAUGCUGCUCUAAUGGUGUAUCCGUCACAUCAUCAAUAAAUUGGAAACAUGUUAACUGCAUAAACCAUAAUUUAGAAAAGGAGCAUUAAUUGCAUCAUUAAACACAAUAAACAUCGGAAUCUUUCCUAUUAAUCUUGAAAAUAAAAUUACUGUCAAACUGGACAUGCACGUACACGGUUACCAGUAAAUAGUAAUUCAAAAUAAGGAAACAAAGAUGGCAAGCAUGCAUGUGCGCUCGACACGCACGAAAUGUGUUUUGUGUGGAAACAAAGAUGCACUAGUAUCAUAUGCAUGAUACUAGUAUGUGAUACUUCUCAUUACAACCAGCCUAAUGGCCACUCCCUGUCAUCACUAAUAAAUCUGCCAACUCAACAGUCCUCGCUUUCUCAGCGGAAAUCCGCCAGCUAAACUAUCUUUGAUCCCCCAACCACUUCCCCAUUGUCAAUUCCGACGUAACUGAAUGAAAAGGAUUGGCGUGGAAGAAAAUAAUGCUCGCGUCGUCGUGCCGUGCUUGGUCCAAAUCUCAUUUGUCAACCGAUAUUCUGCGUGCCACUUGCGGCACUUGCCCUUAAAAAUUUGACGUAUUUUUGUUAUUAUGUUUAGGGUGGUUUGUGUUUCUGGUGAACUUUAUUUCAGAUUAGACGCAUCUAUGACACUUUGAUAAUGUACGAAGUACUUAUAUUUAAAUAUGAAGUGGGACACUAGACAGAUGCAAGCAUUUGUGAGCUCAGCAGACAGUUUAAAGAAAAAAAAAGGAUGAAUGCAUUCAUCUUUAUUAUGCUUCCACUGCGCCUCAUGACAACGACAUUCCACAUAUGCUUAGAGAAUCUCAUAUCUGUUUUAAUCUGAUGGCACGCUGCUGCCUAUGCUUUAAUCACCAGGACCCUGUCCCUAAUACUCCAGCUGUCUUGAUUUAUCGGCAAAGUACAAAUUAAACUAUUAAAUCGGCGUCUCAAUAUAUAUGAUUAAUUGCUUCAUCAUGGAAAACAACUUAUUUAAUUCCAAACAAAGACAGGGGAAAGGAAUACAAGCCUGGAUGCAACCGGAAUUACUUAAUCUCCGCCGAGAAAAAGGGCAUACACUGAACUUGUAGGCAUCUAACUUUAUCCCAGGGAAUGUUUCUUCUACAUUUAUCAAUGCAAAACACUUAAACGAGCCGAUGUCUCCCCGCAUUUCUUUCAUGGGAAUAAAACUGGCCUUCAUUCGACGUCGAAUCCCUUCUCCUGGAGCUCCUGCACCACCUCGUUGCCCAUCCAGAACCACAGCUUGCGCGCCUCCUGGUCGAAUUUCUUCGACUGCAGCUGCUUCUGCAUGUUGUCUGAGUCCAUGUUGGCGUCCGCAAACCCCUUGGGAGAGGAAGGUUUCACCAAUCCCUGUCGAUAAAUCGACAAUUCCCAAUGCAACAUGUUCAUGUGGCACAUUGGACGAGAUUUCAAUAGUAGGAGAAGUGUUAUUUUUAGAAGUUUCUUAUGUCUCAGUAGCACAUAUAUCCGGCUAUUUUGUCAGACACUGACAUAUCGAAAACGACAAUAGGAAGAUGCACGUCGCCCCUGCAAAAGACCAUUGAUGCAAGGAGAAAGAUAUGAACGACGAUGAGGAUGUGUUGAGCAAGGCAAUGAAACAUGUGGAUGUGUGAAAUUUGGAUGGCUCGACGCAGGGGAGUGAUGACCCACAAGUAUAGGCGAUAUCGUAGUCCUUUCGAUAAGUAAGAGUGUCAAAUCCAACAAGAAACGGAAGAAAAUGACAAGCGAUUUACAGCAAGGUGUUGUCUGAAGCACUGAAAUUAUCGGUAACAGAUAGUUUGGUAGCAAGGUAAUUCGUAACAUGAAACAAGUAGCAAAAGUAAUAAUAGGUGCAGCAAGAUAGCCUAAUCCUUCUUAUGGCAAAGGACAGGUCGGAACGUUCUCUUAUAGUAAGCAGAGCGUUCUUGAGGACACAUGGAUCCAAAUCAGCCCCUUACGGACUAGCGCAUAAACUAGGAUUUAAACUUUUGUCACUCUAGCAACCCUUCAUCUAAUUAAUUACUACUCCACAAUGCCUUCCCUUAGGCCCAAAGAUGGUGAAGUGUCAUGUAGUCGACGUUCAUAUGACACCACUAAGAGAAGCAACAACAUACAUAUCAUCAAAAUAUCAAACGAAUACUAAAUUCACAUAAUUACCCACAAACCAUAUUCAUGUUCAAAAUCAGAGAGGUGUUGAAUAGCAUUAAGGAUAUGAACAUAUAAUCUUCCAUCAAAUAUAUCAACUAGUAUCAACUAUAAGAUGUAAUCAACAUUACUAGCAACCCAUAGGUACCAAUCUGAGGUUUUGAGACAAAGAUUGAAUACAAAAGAUGAACUAGGGUUUGAGAUGAGAUGGUGCUGGUGAAGAUGUUGAUGAAGAUUCGUCCUCCCACGAUGAGAGGAUCAUUGGUGACGUUGAUGGCCCCCUCCCGAAGGGAAGUUUCCCCGGCGGAAUCGCUCUACCGGAGAGCAAAAGUGCUCCUGUCCAGAUUCCACCUCGAGACGGCGGCGCUUCGUCCCGGAAUUUCUCUCUUGAUUUUUUUUUCUAGGACAAAUGGCUUCAUAUAGGAGAAGAUGGGCCUCGGAGGCCAGCCAGGGGCCCCACAAGCCACAUGGGUGCGGCCAGGGGGUGGUCGCGCCCAUGUGCCUCGUGGGCACCUGGUGGGUCCCCUCUGGUAUCAAAAUCGUCUUAAUCCGAGGUCAUAUAAGAGGCAUCUGGAAGUUCUAAAGUACUGAAAGACUGUUUCUCUCAAAAACAGAACAUGACGGUAGCUCUCAAAAAUUGUGCAUCUUCCAUCCUUUUUUAGCCGUAAAUACUGAUGCCAUCAGAAUAAGCCAAUCCCUAGCUACCAUCGAGGGGGUGCAGCCGCACUCCAAACCCCAAAACCCACAGAACCCAUCUCUCGACGGGAGCACGCCGUGCUCGGAGGAAAACAGGGAAUUGGCUAAUUCGGACAAUGAUGAUGGGGAUGGGCGUGCUCAGAGGAAAGCAUGGGAUUAGCCGAUUCAGCCGAUGAUGAUGUGGACAGGGAGAAGGAAACAAAAACGAGAAAUCAUGAUCUUCCCCAUUUGUUCUAUUCCCAAUCAACAAAUCUGCCAUGACUUCACAGCUCAUUGUCUUGUCAAUCCCCUUGGGGAGCCAAACAAUUUUGCUUAUGUAUACUAAAAAGAUUUUCCAUUUAAUCUCUAAGGUUUUAUUAGAGCAAACAAAUAUAUUAUGUUGUUUCAUAUUUUCACAUGUGAAUGGAUUCGAUAUGAGUUAUUUGAUCCAACUUUCUAAGAUUUCUUUAAGAAACACCCAUGCAAAUUACCCCCAGCAAUAUAUAGAGGAAAAAUCAGUUUACACUAGAGUUAGCUACCAUCAAUGUAUCGGUGAUAUAUUUUGCCCACCUCUCAGCCUCAGGUGUUCAAGUUACGGACAAAUUGACAGAAUCACAACAAAGUUCGACGUACAAGUAAACUUGUAAUAGAAACAAUUCAGUACUCAAAAUAUUUGUUAUUGAUAAGCAAAGCCUCAUACAAAAUUGACCACUUGAUCCUAUACAAAUUUCAUACAUGCAUUGACAAAUUGUAACUCGCGGCAUCUAAUUAAAGCGCGGCAAUCACAUUGAAUUUCAAACAUCCUACGAAAGCAAAUCGAUCUUUGAUUUACCGACAUUCUACAAACAAAAAAUAAAUAAAUUGUCGAUAUCCUAUAAGUAGAUUUUCGUUUGACCUUUAGGGUUUUACUAGAGCAAACAAAAAUAUUAAAGUUUGGAAUGUUCACAUGUGAAUGGGAUUCAAGACAUUUAUUUGCUCCAACUUUCAAAGAUUACUUAUUGGCCAUAGCAGAAAAACAUUAACAUACUAUAAAUUGAAUACCCCCAAUGUGACACUGAAAUAUUGGCCCACCUCUUAGCCUCAGAUGUUGUUCAAAUUAAGUGCAACAAACAAGUGAACUUGUAACUGGAAAAAAUCAGUGCUCAAAAUGUUUGUCAGUAAAGAAAACCUCGUACAAAAUUCAGCACUUGAUCCUUCACAGAUUUCAUACACGCGUCCACAAAUUGUAACUGGCAGCAUCAAAAAGUGUGGCAAUCACAUUGAAUUUUCAAACAUCCUACAAAAGCAAAUGGAUCUUCGAUUUACCGACAUUCUACAAACGAAAAAAAUAAAGAAAGAAAUACUAUAGUUAAUAUCCCCAGGGUCCUCAACUUGUAUCGCACAAACAGAACGUUCUCAAGUCCUUGUGGGUUUUGGUUGUGGUAUCGUGCUGCACUGCACUGCACUGCACUGCUGUAGUUAUCGCCUACCACACCGACACAAAGGAAUAACGCUAGUUUACAACACCAAUAUGUACCAACCGUGAAUCACUUCAUCAUGGCAUGUACAACCUAUAAAUAGGUAAAUGAAACAUUAGAAAAAGUAUUCACUAUGCACGAGAAGAAAGAACAUGCACUAGACUGAAGAAUGCAAGCAUUCGACACAAAAAUAUGACCUGCUGAAUUUGUGUAUGCAUCAUGCACCAACAAAAUAAAAAAUGUUCCUACAAUAAAAGUAAUAGAGCAGAUUCAACAAAAUAAAAACGUUCCAUACUUGGUUAAUUUUGUGUACAAUGGAAGUAUAUAGGGAGUUAGACAGUAGAGGAAAGAAAUGACUGCUUAUAAUAUAUAACAACAAUAAAAAUGCGAGGUUGUCAUAUACUCACACCUUGUAUAUAUCAUACUGCCGAGAGACUGCCGAUCUUUCCCAUCUCAUAGGUAUCAGCGUAGUAGUACAGCUUGAUCUUAUUUGACAAAGACAAUCCAGAAGCCAGAGGAAGAUUCCGCAAGCUUAAGCCAUCAAUCUCAGCAAUAUCAUCAACAAAGGCAGUGACAUCUCCAAGUAAUCUAAAGAUAACACAACGGGCAUCUUGCUGCAAAUCCGAAAAAUCAAAAUACAGUGGUGUAUUUGCUUUAACUUCCGGCAGACGGUAUUCCUCUACAACCAGCUUGCCAGACUCCUGCAGAAAAAACAUAAGUAUUGAAUGCACACAACAUACAAAAUUGGCAAAGAGAAAACUAUAUAUCUUAUCUAGAGAGUUCAGCCACAGGCUUCUCAAACCCUCAAGGAACAAUUUCAUGCCGCAAAAACUGCUUACUUUUAGGAACAAACUUGAAAAGAGCAGCAGCACAUAGACGAAUGGACAACUACGAUAUUAUGUUUCCCAGUCAAACCAAAAUAUAUCUAUAUCUACACCUCUAUAUAGCAUACGAAAAACUUUGUAUAUCGGCAGUUGGAUGAAGCCGAUCCGAUGGUACAGAGGUGGCAAACCCGACUUGUGCAGGCCAUUGGAUUUUCUCUUCACUACAUCCGAUUCUACCAUGUGUAGUGUCCAUAAGGUUCUAUGAUUGGGCUUAGAUGUUAUGCACAAACCUCAGAGAACACACUUCUACAUUGUUCUAGACUCCCAGCUUUUUUCGAACAGAAUUUUUACUUUGUGUUCAAGGCUAUGGAUGUACCUUCAUAAACCUCAUUUACUUUGCAGAUGCAGCACUAGAUGUUCUCAUUAUUUUCUAAUAAAAAUUGCAGUACAAGAGACACCUCCUGGGUAAUGUGCUUGAUGUAUUUUACCUGAGUUUUGUGUUUUGAUUGAGUGGACUGGGAGAAUUAAACCUGCAUCUUAUACUUCAUGCAUGUGCCUCAAAAUUUUCAAUCUUUGGUCAUACUUUGAUUAUCUGAGCUCUCACGUGCAAUGCCCAUAUAACUUACUAUUAUGAUAUUAUGUUCAAUCAGGGUAUAGCUAUAUCAGGGUUCCAAGAAACAUGAGGUUAUUGGCUGAGAAACUGGAACUGGCCAAGCUCCAGUUGCUAGUGUUACCCUUCUUUGGAUUGCAGGAAUGAAAAACGCAGGACGGCAGGAGUUUGGGGCAGGAAUCCAAGUGCAAAGGAUUGCAAAACACGGGAAAAUUAGAUGAUAGUCGCUUGGACAGAACACAGGUAAAUGACCUCGAUCCUAGGCAACCUAGUGUGUAUAAAAGAGGUUGGAGUGGUAUUAAAGUUCCCGUGCAAUUAAGGCAUGGGAAACAAAUCCAUUGGAAUUUGGUAGCAUCAUUACAUUGAUCCCAAAGACAUUUGUAUGAAAGACUCCUAUGAAUUGCAGUGCUAUGAAAAUUCUACAAUCCAAAAUGGCCCUACUUAAAUCUCAAAUUCAAUUUUUAACAACAUCAAAAUUUGACUUCCUUAACCUUUUCACCCCAAAAAAAGUUUCCAAGAACGAUGAGAAUGCUGUAAAGACAGAAUAGGAAGUGAUAAAUUACACAAGCAUGAAAGUUCCCAUGGUUCAAAAACAAAAAUAUAAAGAGAGCAAAAGAACCAGAUAAGUGUCAAUUUUAGUCGCUAAAUCAAGUGAGCUUGACCACAUAGCCAGUGCCUUAUUACCUUAACAACUGUAACUUGUAUAUGAAGAAUUGCAGGAUUUAAGUGUCUAUCUUCCAUACGUAUCAAUGAACACUCCUUCAUAUCUAACUCUGAUGGCAGAGGUGAAUGGGUUACACGAGGUCUUAUAACACCAAAGGAAUCAAGGCGAAAUCCAGCUAUUCCAGGCGAAUUAGGCAAGAGAUAUUGCUCAAGAACAAGAUCGUGGUCUCUCAACCUCUCAGCCUCAACCGGAAUCUGAAAAAUAGGAGGGGAAAAUCUUAGCCAUAGUUCGAAAUAGAGCUGAAAAGUGCUCAGUAAAAAGACAGGGUUUACCCUAAAUCUGCCAAACGAUGGUGAUCCAUCUACGUAACUUCUCAUCCUCAUUAUUGCCACAGAUGUGUCAGGACCCAUUUCCUUGGGCAAAGAGCUACCGAAAACAACAAUCCUUUUUGCAUGGAUAAAUGAGUUAUGUGAAUUGUUUGCCUUAGAAUCAAUAAAUGAGCUUUCAUCCAAUGAUAAAAGAUCACUAAAGUCUUCAUUAAACUUGGUUGAGCUAGAACCAAUUUGGGGAAGUGUCAUUUUUAUUGAAAUUAUGCGACAACGGAUAGGAUUUGGGAAGUGUAGUUUAAAGUGUCUUGGUGCCUCAUCCAAGCUACCCGAAUUUUCUGGUCCAUAAAGCUGUGGAGAUGACACUAUCAUACUUUGCACGUCCCACUUUCCUACGAAUGUCCGGUCGUCUCGCUGUAUUUUAUUACUAGCCCAUAUCUCCACCUGCACAGGCAGCACAAAUAUCAGCAUAUGAGGUCAAUAUUGCGCUAUAUGAAACAAGGGAAAUGAAAUUAGCCAGUUGGUUAGUUCAAAUACUCUUGUUUACAUAGGUAGCUAACUCUGCCACAUAUGAAAAAGAUGUCUACAGCACUAGGGCACUUUGUUAAUUUCAGACCAGGAUAUCGUCAACAAACUAGAUAAUUUGCAUCAGUGUUAAUUCUACAAAAAAACAUGUCAUUGUCAUAAAAUUAUGGUGGUGUCCACACAGCCACGAAAACAAAUUUGCAGAGAUCGCGACUGUUGUUACAAAGAACUGAUAGUAAGAGCAUAAGAGCAAAUUAUGGUGCUGUCAAACGUUGAAGUGCUUAAAGAGCAAUUAUGAAGUACGCACGGAACAAACUCAACAACCAAAAUACCAAGCUACAAAGAACUGACAGUAAAAUUAGCAAUUUACUGCAAAUGAAGAGUUUUUAUACUUUGUUUAGAAGUAUAGAAGCAAGAAACAAGAAGCAAUAAUCAGUUCAAUAACAGCUCUCUACUAUCAAGGCACACAGGUAUGUCAAAGGGUCAAGUGAUGCAGACAUCUCCAAGCUUAAAUGAUGUAAAGUACUUCAAGUACAUCCCAUAAAAAAUCAACUAUUAGUUGCAAUGCCCAAACUGAGCACUUCAGCUACGAAAAUAGAAUUUGUGCAUCCACUCUGCAACAUUGGGAUUCUUUUUCCAAUUUGCGUGUUUCUCCUUUGCCUAUUUCUUGGAUUCAUAGUGCAUGAAAUAACUAAGCUAAGCGUGAAGUAUCUUAAGGCAACUGAUAUAUAUGUUUUGGUAUAAUGAAAUUCAGGAGAGGAAGAGAAUACUAUUGCAUUAUUUCUCUUCCAUCAACAUGGAGCUCGCUCAAGAAUAAAGCUGGAAAAUGUUUUCCUUCUCUUGCUCUGAAAGGUAAUGCAUUUGAUUAAGCUAUAUAGGACUUCUUCACUGAAGACAACAAUGAUUUCACUGACUUCGUUUUAAAUGCCCUUUUUGUUAAAUUUACCAAGAAAAUUGUAUAUCUAGGAGUUCCCAUUUAUAACAAUCUCGCUAACAUAAUUUUUUAUACUAAUGUAGACAAACCAUGGAUCCCAGAAAAAAGAACCAAGAUCGGAAGUACAUCUUACAAUUGGGCAAUCAGAUGUUGAGUAACCACAGGAACUGACAAUUAUUGCAACUCCUGAAACAUCUGAUAUACCGCCAAGAACAAUCGGGAACUCCACAGAUGUGUUGCCUUGUGGAGCUUUCCAGUAGGACUUGUGCACUCCACUACCAAGUGGUGCCAGCAAUGAAAACAGUGGAGCAGAGUCAUCAGCAGUUUCUACCUGGAAAAAUAAAACAACGCGGCAGAAUCAAAGCAAUACCCUGUGGCAAAGCAAUACAGAGCAGGGACAAUACGAUACAGCUUCUGACAAAAAGAAAAGAUUUAUUUUGAAAAGAUAAUGUUAGGCUCAAGGGUAGUGCAUUUGAGUGUCUAGUAUCUUUCCACGGUCCAUGUGCAACAGUAUUGCAGAUGCAGCAGAGUCAUAUAGAUACAAAGUGGCAGCACCAGAGCAGACAGUAAAGGGUAGAAGUUAAUAGAUCAAUGUCGAGGAAUACCGUAUGUAAAAAGCUUGCAUGUGGAAAUUCUGCAAGAGAUUCUUCAUCAUCAAGGAGCUGCUUCAAUUGUCUCAGACCAGAUUGAACACUAUGUACUGAAUCCGAUAUUCUAUUGGGCUCAAGUUGGCAGACCUGAUUCACUGCUUUCAGUGCUGCUUUCUCCGCACGACCUUUUCUUCUCAUACUAUGAAGAACCCUGACAUAAUCGACAUACAGUGCUUGUUUGAUCAUCUCAUUGCAGCAUGAUUUGCACACAGAACUAUCUGCGAGGGCUGAAUAGCCACCACCUUGAUUCCCACCAUAUAUCUUCAGAUCUCUGUAAGUGUUGCCAAGCAAAAGGAAGGCCCCUUUCCCAGCACAGCAAGCCUUGCAAGCUGUCCUUUCGCACUGGGAACACUCCACGAAUAGUGAUGUAUUUCCACUAGUAGCUGAAGCUUGUAACGAAGAUACAACACGGACUUCACAUGCCCCACCAGAGCAUGAUUCACCAUUUUCACUGAUAUUCCAAAAGUCUACAGCAUGGCUAUUGACCUUUUCGAGCCCUAUUGAAGCAUUAGCACGAUCCUCGAAGACAGAAUGCCCCAGCAAUGCUAGCUUGUCAGUAAGGCUGGAUAACUUCAACAGGUAAGAGUAAUCAACUGAACGAUUUGGAUCUACCGUGGCAGGAAUUACACCAAUCGAUAACAAUGCCCGGUCCCUUUCGGCAGCAGAAAGAUCAAGAUAAAGACGUUUUAUUUCAAGCUUCAUCCUUUGUUCAAAGUUAAGGCUCUUUCCCUGAAAAGAUGAAUAAGAGUUACAUCUCUAAGAUCCUCAUUUAAACUUAUAUAAACAAAUCUGUUAAUAAAAUAGUUUUUGUUCUUGUUUAGAAAUAGGUAAUCAUUAAUGAGAACAGGAUGAGUAUAUAAAGCAUGGCAACUAAGCAGUGCCAGGUCCAAUAUAUAAUGUACAUAUAAUGAGCUCAUAAUCAUAAGUUGGCAGGGUCUUUUCUCAGUUUCAGUCAAGUCAUUUCUAGAUGCUAUAACCUUCUAAAUAAACCACCAUUGGAUGAGAGUACCAAUUUCAGAUAUUACUUGUAAAUAAAAUUAGCUCAACACCAGUUUAAGGAAAAUCUAUCAAUGAACGAGAGGAUAGGAAAAGAACAACAAAAAUACCUUAUUAUUUUGAGAAAGUGACUCCAAAAACUCGAGAUAAAACUGUGUACUGCCACAAUCUUCAACAUGGUUAUUGACUUCAGCAACAGGCUCUUCUGAUGCAGUGGCAAAAGGGUUGACGUCAAAUUCAUCAUCAAAGAAGUUCGUCUGAUCCUCAUUACCAAAAGAUGUAUUUCCAGUGUUUUUUGAUUGGUUCGGUACGUCGAUAUCACCCGUGAGAAAAUCCACAAAAUUUCCUGAACCACCAGGUUGAACUGAUGAUGAACUUCUAGUAUAACUCCUCUCACUACCGUGAACAGCAUUACCAGGAGAGGAAGAAUCUGCAAUAUUUUUCAAAGCUAGAUCGCGGGGAGUAUAUGCUUUUUCAUGGAGGAGCUCCAAAACUUGAGCAACACCUUUGCUAUUGGUUAACAUAUCCACCCAUGGAAGAGAAACACCAAGUACUUCAAUCUGUUUCAGAAGAUUACUCAUCUAAUAAAAUAAAUAUACAGAGGCGAAAUAGUUCAAUUGUUAAGAGCUGCUUCUUAAUACAUCAACAUCCAGAUGGUUGUCAACUUUUACCUCACCAAGUGUGAUGGCUGUUCUCGCCAUGGGAGAAGGAUGAAAAGAUAAUGUGACAACCCGAUUUAGAAAGUUCACUUCUCCUUCCAGCUCUUCGAAGUCGUAUAACAACGGAAGAUAAGUGCUCUCUUGAACGUCCGGUCGAGCACUAUUGCCUGUAACAGCCAAGUCCUCUGGAUGAAUUCUUCCAGUGAGAGGGAUCAACAAAUUUGUCCCAUUCGAGCACUGGGGUAUGCAAGCGCCCUAAACAAGUGAACUUGCAGUUAGUUACACAUUAGCUGGCUACACAUGAUUUGCAGAAAGAUAAGCAGUAGCAGGGAACAAAUGU